rnacentral:lncRNA from 1 species
CCAUAAAUAGAAAGAGAAAGGGAACUAGCCCGGACGCGACCUAACCCGAACCCGCGACCCGACCCGGUCUGAUCUUCCAUUUCUGGUCACCUCACCGGCCGAGCAAGGUACCAAACGGAAGGUUAGAAGCCGGCCAUCAUAUAUGCGUUGUCACCAAGGCCGAAAAAGGGCUAGAACGUCGACGAUCAAGCUCGGAAAGCCGCGGUAAAACCCACCUCUUCUCGCCAUCGAUUUCGUCGGCUUUGGGUGAUGCCACCGCCUGGAUCUUGAUCUCACCUCACCCUCCACUGUGCCAAAACCGCUAUUUUGGCCGCGAACGACCGCCGGAAAGCUUGGGCUUGGGAAGCUCGAUCCGCCGCUGUCGUCGCACGUGGAAGGUCACCGCUGGCACUAUUGGACUCACCGAGGUCAGAACUAUCAGAAUUGAGCUUCUUGUUGUCGUUGACUGAACUCCGAUCACCGCUAACAGGUAGGGGCAAUUCGAUAAUUUCAUAAAAUUUAGGGAUAAUUUUGUAAUUUUUGAAAUUGAUGGAUAAUUCAGUAAUUUCAAAUUAGGGAAAUUAGGUAAUUUGAGAUUUUGAGGGUAAUUUGGUAAUUUAAGUUGUUAAGGGCAUUUUGGAAAUUUUGCUCUCCAAGGGUAAUUUCAUGAAUUCUGACAUUGUGGAUAUUUUUGUAACCUGAAUUGAGGGUAGUUUGGUAAUUUAGGAUUUUAAGGGUAAUUUGGUAAAUUAUGAUGUCGUGAACAUUUUGGUAAUUUACAAAUGCAGGGGUAUUUUGGUAAUCUUAUUCAUACGGGAAUAGUUUAUUGCAGGUAAAUAUCGUUUCAAGCUUGUUAGUCGUACUUCGCAUUUAUAGAUAUUAAUUAUGUCGUUUACUUGAUUUAGGAGGAACAACGAACGAGAAUCAACCCACAGACGAGGACGAUAGCUGAGUUUAAGCGUCGUCACUAUGAGUGGAAUAUACAAAACCUAUUUUUAUAGUUAAUUAUGAUAGUAAAGCAUGUUUGCAAAAUAAGCAUUCUAAACAUUCUAAUUUAAUGAUUUUCUCGAAAUAGAUUUUAUUUACGCGUUGAUAUUUUAUUAAAAUGUUUGGUUAAUGAUUUUUUGUAUCGAUUUUGAAUAAAGCAUGAUAGUAUUUUAAAGAUAAGAAAAGUGAAUUCAAAUGUGGUAUGAUUUAAAGUAUGGUUAAAAGGUAUAUGAAUAUGAGUGUAAUGGUUGUUUUUAAAAUCAUUGGACAAUACCUUUCCCCUCUAGAUACAUGUGAUACAGAUGACAUAAAAGGCCUUUGAGGCCCUUUUGAAGACACAUAGAGGCUUUAGGCCGUGUGUUUGGGCGCCUUUGCCUUUUGGGGGAAUAUGCAUGUGGUAUGAUGAUUACAGAGAUAUAUAUAUUGAGAUACUGACAGAUAUUGAGAUACAAAUAAUACAGAUGAGAUAUAGGCCUUUGGGGCCUGUUUGAGUACACACAGAGGCUUUGGGCUAUGUGCUUGGGCGCCUUGUCCUUUGGGGACCAAUUUAUGCAUCAGAGAUAUGAUGAGAUAUAUGAGAUAUGAAAUGACAUUUCCCCGUCUACCAGUUGUAGCUCCGGGGCAUGUUGGUUCCCUGAUUGUCUGGCCAUCGAGGUCUGGGUAUGAUGAAAUUAUUCUCCUAAGUACUUGUUUAGUGACAGUUUUCAUGAUUCAAAUAUUGAAAUUACGGUGUAUCACGACUUCUUUGAUUUUAUACGGUAUUAUAUAUUAAGUUUAUGUCACUGUAUGUUUUAUACUCAUAUAAGUUAUUUAAGUUCUUAUGAAAAUUUUGUUAAAAGGAUUUAUUGAAAUGAUAAUUAUUUUGAAGUAAAUUUAUUUUUUAAAAACUACUAUUCACUUACUGAACACACUGAGUUUUAUACUCACCCCGUUUUUAUUAUAUUCCCCCCUCCCACAUGAGAUUUGUAGGUACAUCAUUCGAUCUAGCAACGAUAGUUACAUUGAAAAUUAUGGCCAUGUGAUGGUGCCAGGAAUCACAGAUGUUUGUUGGGAUAUUUUAGAUUGUAUAAAUUAUUGCAUAUUUGUGAUUAAAGAUAAUAAAUUGUAUUUUUGACAUUAUAUGUUUGGAGGAUAUUUGGUAUGUGAUUGACGAAGUUGGUUGCGGAGGUUGAUUAAAUAUUGAAUUAUUUUUUAGAGUGUUAAUUUUAUAAAUUUACGGUUUAGGAAUGUCAUAAUUGUAGAGGAGACUGUCGAAUUUUUGGUAGAAUUCUUAAAUAUUAAAUUUAUUAUUAAUUCGGUUGGACGAGAUUAGAUAGACUUGCUUUGGGGAUUUAGGGUGGGUCGUUUCACAUAUUUAUUUGACUUACCAAGUUUCUUUCUAUUAGGCUCUCAUGAUUUCAUGCUCUCAUGUAGCUAGGCUUAUUUGACUUACUAAGCUUCCUACUACUGAGCUCUUGUUCUCCCAUGUUUUCAUGCUCUUGUGUUCUCAUGCUCUUACGUAGUUGUGCUUAUUUGACUUAUUAAGCUUCCUACUACAUACUAAGCUAUCCCGUUUUCAUGGUCUCAUACUCUCAUGCUCUUACGUAGUUGUGCUUAUUUGACUUGUUAAGUUUCUUAUUACUAAGCUCUCAUGCUGUCAUGCCCUCAUGUCACUGUGUUUAUUUGACUUAUUAAGUUUCUUAUUGUUGAGCUUUCAUGCUCCCAUGUUUUCAUGAUCUUAUGCGUUUCUAGUUAUUUAACUUAUUAAGCUUCCUACUACUAAGCUAUCAUGCUUUCAUAGAUUCACGUAGUUGUGCUUAUUGGAUUUAUAAGCUUCUUGCAACUAAGCUCUCAUGCUCUCAUGUAGUUGUGCUUAUUUGACUUAUUACGCUUCCUGCUGCUGAGUUCUCAUGCUUUCAUACUCUCAUGCUUAUCAUGCUCUCUUGUACUUGUAGUUAUUUGGCUUUUCACAUUUCUCAUGUAAUUGUGCUUAUUUGAUUUAUUACGCAUCCGGCUGCUGAGUUCUCAUGCUUUCAUGCUUAUCAUGCUCUCUUGUGCUUGUAAUUAUUUAAAUUUUCACCUUUCUCAUUACAACAUGUAUAAUUAUCGAAAUAAAUGUUUGUCUUUAAAAAAAAAUUUAAAGGCUGAAGACUUUGAAUUUUAAUACAAAUAUUGACGGGUCUAGUGUUUUAAAUUAUACUACUUGGCAUAAGUAUCCAAAUUUAAUGUCAUUAUUUUACAAAAAGUAAAAUGAUUAAAUUGUUGAAAAUAUAUGAGAAAAAAACGAUUUUUAAAGACCAAAACAAAAUCCAACCCUUCAUUAAAUAUGUAGGUUUGAACAAUGGAUCUAUCCAUUAAAUGCUGGAUUCGAUAAGAUCGUUUUGUCGAUUAAUCUUAUAUUCCGUUAAUGUAUCGUAUAAACUUUUGUCAACCCAAUAAUCAUAUAUGGAUUGCGAAACUCUAUAUGAAGAGCAGAAGUCCUGCCGAGUUCAAACUAAGUAAUUAGUUCCUUUGGUUUGCUUUGAUUAGAAAAAAAACAAAGAAAGAAAAAAGUGCCCACUCAAGUUCCAGCAACGGUUUCCAGUUCAAUAGAAAAACCUGUUUGUCCCAAAUUGAAUGUCAUGUUUUUUUAUACAAAGUAAAACGAUUAAAUUGUUGAAAAUAUAUGAGGCAAACGGUUUUAAUAAUGGAUCUAUGCUUUAAAAGCUCAACUCGAUGAGAUACAGACAAUCAUUUUAUUUUGUAAUUUAACAUUCUUUUAAUGUAUCGCAUGAAAUUUUGUCAAGCCAAAGGUUAUUUAUGGGAGAAACUCUAUAAUACAUCAGAAUUAAUACAACUAAUAAAUCUGUGUGUGUGUGUGUUGUGUAACUGAGAAUAUAGAGGCAGAGAGAACAGAAAAAAUUUAAAAGGGUUUGAGCCAUGUUUGGACACUUUGAGGUUUUAUUUGCCCUCACUACACUUGAUUUGUAACGAAGUUGAAUGAAAAAUCACCCUCAGGAUACAACAAACUCUAAACACAAUCUCUAGCAAUGAAACUAUAUUCGAGAACAGGUUAUGAAUCUGUAAUAUAAUCUGCGAUAUUUAUAGGAAGUUAAGUGUCUAUUCAUGAAGUAAUAUGUUUAUUCACAAAACAAUGCAACCCUCCAAACAAAUUAAGGCACCUUUUUAGAACAGAUACACCACUUUAAAUAGACACUUUAGUGAGAAACAUUGCACCUUUCCAUCAUUUAAUUUUAUUUAUUUAUUUAAAAUAAACUAAUUAAUUAAUUACGAAGGAAUUAUAUUUCAAUCUCAAAGCUUUCUCAUUUUAGUGCUGCAGCGUGUCUCUCUUGGUCUUGGUGCUGCAGCACCAAUGGUCUCCCAUAUGUAUAAUAAUAAAUAUUUAAAUCUCUUUUACAUUUUAUAUAAUCACUAAUUACAUGCUAUUUUUUUUAAAAUAAUUGUACAAAUGCCAUUGCAUCAUUCCACUCGAUUCCAAGGACCAAUGAAAUUAAUGCUUAGCCUAGAUGAGACGUAAGAUUGGAGAAUGAAAUAAACAUAUUUCUUAACAUCGAACCUGUGACAAUAUAGCACUUAAUUACUAUAACUAACAAAAAUUGAAGUUUCCCUUUGCACGAAAAGCCAAUUCAGUAGGAAUUGCCCUGCAAUUUUAGGUAAUAUUUAAAUAAUUUGUCUAUUAUAUAUGUCAGCAUUACUGCAUUAGCUGUAAGCUUACAGCUAAUAAUCCAAAAGCUAUAAAUAUGGCUACUUUCAACAAAGCUUAUUAGUGUUACCCACAUUUUUCACGCUUCUUGGGUCUUCUUAAAAGUUGAAGUGAAAUAGAUUGAAGACGAGGGUAAAUGCUCGUUUUGUCCUUAGAUUCUGUGUUAAUACUUACUUAGUAUCUAUAUUUUGAAAAAUAUCUCAUCUAUUUUGUUUAUUAUGUGGCAUUCAUGUUCUUUUUUUUUUAAUAUAACUCUUACUACAAUUUUAAAAUAAUAUUUAAUAUCUUUUCAAUAACUAAUCUUGCUAAUAAUAAUUUAUAAAAUAAUAAUAAAAAAUUUAUAUUUAUUUUAAUUUUAUAUUUUAUUAUAUGACUGACAUAAUACCUUAGAGUUAUUAUAGAAUUUCUCUAUCUAUGGAUUGGGAAACUCUAUAUAAAGAGCAGAAGUCCUACCGAGUUCAAACUAAGUAAUUAGUUCCUUUGGUUUGAGUGUGAAAAAGAAAAAAAAAAUGUCCGCUCAAGUUCUAGCAACGGUUUCCAGUUCAACAGAAAAAACUGUUCGUCCCAUUGCUGGUUUCCAUCCUAACUUAUGGGGAGACUAUUUCCUUGUCAAAAUUAUUGGCUGCAGCAUCUAGAAGGUUUGAAGAAGCUGCAGCAUCUAGAAGGUUUGAAGAAGAAAAAAUGGGCUGGCCGAAAUGCUUGAAAAGGAAAUGAAAAAGAAGCAGUUUAAAGAAGAAAAUGAAGAACACGGUUUUGACAAGGAAAAAUUAUUAUUAAUUUAAUAGCCAUUUUUUGGCUAUAAAAGGGAGAGCUUCCCAUUUCAUUGAGCAUCCAAUUCCAUUAUUCAGAGAGUAAUUUAGAGAGAGUCGAGAGUUGUGAGAAAUAAUUCUUGCAGAGCAGAGAGUCUAGUGAGUGAGAGAUUGGGUGUAUUGGGGUUUUGGGUUGUGAGCCAAAAUAUUACAAUACUUGUAAUCCUUAUUUCACUAGUAAAAUAUUUCCUUCUGUUUUCGCCCGUGGACGUAGGCUAAAAGCCGAACCACGUAAUUGGUUGUAUUUUUGGAGUUAGGAAUUGUUCACGUAUUCACGUAUACGGCGUACGGCACUAUUCACGUAUACGGCAUACGAUACUAUUCACGUAUACGGAGUACGGCACUAUUCACGUAUACGGAGUACGGUACUAUUCACGUAUAUGGUGUACGGCACUAUUCACGUAUACGGCAUACGAUACUAUUCACGUAUACGGAGUACGGCACUAUUCACGUAUACGGAGUACGGUACUAUUCACGUAUAUGGUACUAUUCAUGUAUACGGUACUAUUCACGUGAAACGGUGGAAGCGAUCCAAGAAUUUUGCGGUGCAAAGCAGGGAAUAGUGGUGUGAGUAAAGCAACUGUGUGAUUCUGUACAUGUCUAGGAAAGUUCUGUCACAAAGGCGAUAAGAGCUUAAGGAGUCUGGGUUUUAAGUGGGACCAUUGUGACCCCUCCAGUCUUUCCUGGGAACUUUCCUGGUGUGCAUUCUCACACAUACUCACAACUAUUCAAGGUGGUACACUAGCUUGUGUACAAUAUUUAUCAAUAAAAUGGCGGCAAAGUAUGAAAUUGAGAAAUUUAACGGAAAUAAUUUUUCGUUGUGGAAAAUGAAGAUGAAAGCUGUAUUGAGGAAAAAUAAUUGCUUGGCAGCAAUUGAAGAAAGGCCCAUGGAGAUAACUGAUGACAAGUGGAACGAGGUAGACGGCAAUGCCAUUUCUGAUCUACACUUGGCACUUGCGGAUGGAGUAUUAUCCAGUGUGGCAGAGAAAAAUACGGCGAAGGAAAUAUGGGAUACUCUCACAAAAUUGUACGAGGCCAAGUCACUACACAAUAAAAUCUUCUUGAAGAGGAAACUCUAUACUCUUCGAAUGGCGGAAUCUACAAUGGUGACCGACCACAUCAACACAUUGAAGACUCUAUUUUCACAACUCACAACGUUGGUUCAUAAUAUAGAGGAAAAUGAACGUGCAGAGCUUCUACUUCAAAGUCUACCAGAUUCGUAUGAUCAACUCAUCAUCAACCUGACGAACAACAAUCCAGUGGAGGGUCUAGUUUUCGACGAUGUUGCAGCCUCCGUAUUAAAUGAGGAGAGCAGGCGAAAAAACAAGGAAAACAGACAAGCAAGUUCGCAGCAAGCGGAGGCGCUAUCGGUGACGAGAGGAAGAUCAACAGAACGUGGCCCCAGUGGGAGUCAAAAUCAUGGUAGAUCAAAAUCCAGAAGUAAGAAGAAUGUUAAAUGCUACAACUGUGGCAAGAAAGGGCACGUCAAAAAGGAGUGUUGGAGUAACCAGAAGAAAAAAGAGGGCAAAGAACCUGAGUCAUCAAAUGCUCAGGGGUGUGUAGCAAGUACCUCAGAUGAUGGCGAAAUUCUCUACAGUGAGGCAACAACUGUUUCAGAAGGCAGAAAACGACUUUCUGAUGUCUGGCUUAUAGACUCGGGAGCUACCUGGCACAUGACCUCUAGGAGAGAAUGGUUCCACACAUAUGAACCUAUCUCAGGAGGAUCUGUAUAUAUGGGUAACGAUCAUGCCUUGGAGAUCGCUGGUAUUGGUACUAUCAAAAUAAAAAUGUUUGAUGGUACAAUUCGCACAAUUGGAGAGGUAAGACAUGUCAAUGGCCUAAAGAAAAAUCUAUUGUCUUUGGGACAAAUGGAUAGUCAUGGGUGCAAAACUCAUGUGGAGAAUGGAAUUAUGAAGAUCGUUAAAGGCGCACUUGUAUUGAUGAAGGCAGAAAAGAUCCGUGCUAAUCUAUUCAUGCUUAAAGGAGAAACACUACAGGAGGCUGAUGCGUGUGUCGCGUCAAAUGGAGAAGAAUCAACGAUGAUGUGGCAUCUCAAACUUGGCCACAUGUCAGAACAAGGCUUGAAGAUUCUCUCUGAGCGAAAAUUGCUUCCGGGGCUCAAAUCGGUAAGUUUACCAUUUUGCGAGCAUUGUGUUACAAGUAAGCAGCAUAGAUUAAAAUUUAGUAGAUCUAUUGCUAGAAGUAAAUGCAUUCUAGACUUGAUUCAUUCUGAUGUUUGGGAAUCACCGAAUAUAUCCAUGGGAGGUGCAAAGUACAUGGUGACUUUCAUUGAUGAUUAUUCCAGAAGAUGUUGGGUGUAUCCAAUUAAGAAAAAGUCAGAUGUAUUUCCAGUGUUUAAAGAAUACAAAGCGCGGGUGGAACUUGAAUCUGGUAAAAAGAUCAAGUGCUUGAGGACAGAUAAUGGUGGAGAAUAUACAGACGGCGAGUUUCUUGCUUUCUGUAAGCAAGAAGGUAUUCAGAGACAGUUCACGGUGGCAUACACUCCUCAACAAAAUGGAGUGGCAGAACGGAUGAACAGAACUCUUACAGAAAGAAUAAGAGCUAUGUUGAGGACUGCUGGUCUACCCAAUUCAUUCUGGGCAGAAGCAGCCAAAACUGCCUGUUAUAUAGUAAAUCGGUCGCCAUCUACAGCUAUUGGGUUGAAGACGGCGAUGGAGAUGUGGACUGGAAAGCCAGCUGAUUAUUCCUACCUACAUGCAUUUGGAUGUCCUGUGUACGUGAUGUACAAUGCCCAAGAAAGAACAAAGCUGGAUGCAAAAUCUAGAAGAUGUAUCUUCUUGGGGUAUGCUGAUAGAGUAAAGGGGUAUCGUUUGUGGGACCCCACUGCCCACAAGAUCGUCAUCAGCAGAGAUGUUAUUUUUGUAGAAGAUCAACUGCAAAGAAAAGAUGAAGAUGAUGGCACUGUAAAAGAAAAGUCAGAGACUGUGCCGGUAUAUGUCGAAAAUAAUCCAGAAGAUUCAGAUUCUUCUGAAGCAGCAUCAGAGCACGAGGAACAAGAACCAGUUGAGUCCGAGGCUCCAGAAGUUCGUCAGUCAACUCGUGAGAGACGACCGCCAACGUGGCACUCGGAGUAUGUCACAGAGAUCAACGUUGCAUACUGUCUUCUAACAGAGGAUGGAGAGCCUUCAACUUUCCAUGAAGCUUUAAACAGCUCAGAUGUUGCUUUGUGGGUGACAGCAAUGCAGGAAGAAAUUGAAGCUCUACACAAGAACAAGACAUGGGAACUUGUACCACUACCACGUGGAAGAAAAGCCAUUGGAAACAAAUGGGUCUACAAGAUCAAACGUGAUGGCAAUGACCAAGUGGAGCGGUAUCGUGCGAGACUGGUAGUGAAAGGAUAUGCUCAGAAAGAAGGUAUUGACUUCAACGAGAUAUUUUCUCCGGUGGUUCGACUCACAACAGUCAGAAUAGUCUUGGCAAUGUGUGCUACAUUUGACCUACAUCUAGAGCAGUUAGAUGUUAAAACUGCAUUUCUUCAUGGAGAACUUGAAGAAGAAAUUUAUAUGCUCCAACCAGAAGGUUUUGCAAAAAAAGGAAAGGAGAACUUGGUUUGCAGGUUGAACAAAUCUCUAUACGGUCUCAAACAGGCGCCAAGGUGUUGGUAUAAGAGAUUUGAUUCCUUCAUCAUGAGCCUUGGAUACAACAGACUCAGUUCAGAUCAUUGUACAUAUUACAAGAGAUUUGAAGAUAAUGAUUUCAUCAUUUUACUGUUGUAUGUGGAUGACAUGUUGGUAGCAGGUCCCAACAAAGAUCGAAUCCAAGAAUUGAAGGCACAGUUGGCUAGGGAGUUUGAAAUGAAGGACUUGGGACCAGCAAACAAGAUUCUAGGGAUGCAAAUUCACCGAGACAGAAAUAACAGGAAGAUUUGGCUCUCACAGAAGAAUUAUUUGAAGAAAAUCUUGCGGCGCUUCAACAUGCAAGAUUGUAAGUCAAUUUCUACCCCACUUCCUGUUAAUUUCAAAUUAUCCUCAAGUAUGUGUCCUAGCAAUGAAGCAGAGAGGAAGGAGAUGUCUCGAGUACCGUAUGCAUCAGCAGUGGGAAGUUUAAUGUUCGCUAUGAUAUGUACAAGACCGGACAUUGCACAAGCAGUGGGAGCAGUCAGUCGAUACAUGGCGAAUCCUGGCGGAGAGCAUUGGAUAACUGUGAAGAGGAUUCUGAGAUACAUCAGAGGAACCUCAGAUGUUGCAUUAUGUUAUGGAGGAUCAGAGUUUACUGUCAAAGGUUAUGUGGAUUCAGAUUUUGCAGGAGAUCUUGAUAAAAGGAAAUCCACUACUGGUUAUGUGUUUACACUUGCGGGAGCAGCUGUAAGCUGGGUUUCGAAACUGCAGACCGUUGUGGCUUUAUCUACAACAGAAGCAGAAUACAUGGCAGCUACACAAGCUUGCAAGGAAGCUAUCUGGAUACAAAGAUUAUUGGAGGAGCUCGGGCACAAACAACAGAAAAUUCCUGUGUUUUGUGACAGUCAGAGUGCCUUGCACAUUGCAAGGAAUCCAGCUUUUCAUUCCAGGACAAAGCACAUAGGAGUUCAGUAUCACUUCGUUCGAGAAGUAGUGGAAGAUGGAAGUGUGGAUUUACAGAAAAUCCAUACGAAGGAGAACCUAGCAGAUGUUUUGACCAAGCCGAUAAAUACUGAUAAGUUUGUCUGGAGUAGAUCCUCCUGUGGCCUAGCAGAAACGUAGGCAACAUGAUUAUGGCGAAGCAGAUAGGAUGGUGUGGAGAUUGAUUGUUUUUCAAUCUAAUCUCCAAGUGGGAGAAUGUCAAAAUUAUUGGCUGCAGCAUCUAGAAGGUUUGAAGAAGCUGCAGCAUCUAGAAGGUUUGAAGAAGAAAAAAUGGGCUGGCCGAAAUGCUUGAAAAGGAAAUGAAAAAGAAGCAGUUUAAAGAAGAAAAUGAAGAACACGGUUUUGACAAGGAAAAAUUAUUAUUAAUUUAAUAGCCAUUUUUUGGCUAUAAAAGGGAGAGCUUCCCAUUUCAUUGAGCAUCCAAUUCCAUUAUUCAGAGAGUAAUUUAGAGAGAGUCGAGAGUUGUGAGAAAUAAUUCUUGCAGAGCAGAGAGUCUAGUGAGUGAGAGAUUGGGUGUAUUGGGGUUUUGGGUUGUGAGCCAAAAUAUUACAAUACUUGUAAUCCUUAUUUCACUAGUAAAAUAUUUCCUUCUGUUUUCGCCCGUGGACGUAGGCUAAAAGCCGAACCACGUAAUUUCUGGUGUCCAUUCUUUUGUGCUUGUUCUUUAUUUUCUUACAAUUUUACUUUAGCUGCGUGUCUGCUUCACCCACCAAUUUCCUAACAUUCCUGACCCUCGCUUCUGAUUGCAAGGUAAUUAAAGACGGAUCUAAAUAACUCAUUAACUACCAGCUAGCUAGCUAGCCAUGUGUGUGAUUAAUUCGCAUAGAGACUAAUAAGUAUUAAUUAAUUGUAUUGUACAUGCAUGCAUUGCAGACAAAUGAUACUACGCACCAAGAGGAAUACGAAGCGCUGAAGCAAGAAGUCAGGAGCAUGAUAACGGCUACGGCAGAUACACCUGCCCAGAAGUUGCAAUUGGUUGAUGCAGUCCAACGAUUGGGUGUGGCCUAUCACUUCGAACAGGAGAUAGAAGAUGCAAUGGAAAAGAUUUAUCACGAUGACUUUGAUAAUAUCGAUGAUGUCGAUCUCUACACUGUUUCUCUUCGUUUUCGACUGCUUAGGCAGCAAGGAUUUAAGGUUCCGUGUGGUAAGUAAGAUUUUUGCUUAAAGCUAAUUAGGGUCUCUACACUUUCUGCCAAUUACAUACUUAGUUGCUGUAAUUUUUAAAAGAUACUCAAAAGACUUGUUGUUACAUUUGUAGGUGUUGGAUAUGAGUAGAUAAAAAGAAAAUGGUCAUAUAUUAAGUAGAUUUUAACACAAAUUUGUACAAGAGAGACAUUUUGGACAUGUUUGAAAAUAAAGUAACUAUAUAAUUGAGUAAUUGGCUGAAACUAUCCCUAGCCAUUUAUAUAUGUGUUUAUACAUGCUGAUGUCAAUGUAACUGAGCACAAUAAAUCUUUUACAAAAAAUACAGAUGUGUUCGAGAAGUUCAAAGAUGAUGAAGGUAAAUUCAAGGCAUCAUUGGUGAAGGAUGUUCAAGGCAUUCUAAGUUUGUAUGAGGCAGGACACUUGGCCAUUCGCGGAGAAGAUAUAUUGGAUGAAGCCAUUGCUUUCACUAGAACUCACCUUAAGUCAAUGGCAUCUGAUGAUGUUUGCCCUAAUAAUCUUGCUGAGCAAAUUAACCAUGCUCUCGACUGUCCUCUCCGUAGAGCCUUCCCAAGAGUAGAGACAAGAUUUUUCUUGUCUGUCUAUCCAAGAGUUGAUAAGCACGAUAAAACUUUGUUAAAGUUUGCAAAGUUAGACUUUAACCUUGUGCAAAGAAUACAUCAGAAGGAAUUAAGUGCCAUCACACGGUAAGCUCUUAACCAGCGCCCGUGUUAUUUUUUACUUUAAAAGAUAAAAUUAACGGAUACAUUGAUUUGCUCUUUUAAUUAAGAAAAAGAUUUUGAAAACAUACAAAUCUCUUUUCUGUUCAUUUAAGAUUCGAGGAAAAGAUAUUUUCAUUGUUUUCGUUCUUGUUCAGUUAUUGUGGGAAAUUGUCACUUUCACUCUAUAAUUCCUAGUUUUUACUACUUACAUUUUUACGGUUCUCAUAUGUAACAGCCCAUUACCUGUUUAACGUUAACUAUUCUUUUGGGGCUUUGACCUCCCCUUUUCUUUUAGAAAUAAUAUAUAAAAACAAAGAAAAAAUCGAUUUUAAAGAGAUAAAUACAACAGCAAGAACAUUGCGGGUAAAUUUUAAAAUUAUGAGGACAAACCAGACAUUUAGCCGAACCUAAGGACUAUAAGGACAUUUAGCCAAAUGGUUUUCCAAACGUUUAAACAAAGGGAACAAGGAUCGAUUCUCUCCUAGCCUUUGCUAGUUUAUAUUGAGAAACUAGCAAAGGCUAGUUUAUAUUGAUAAUCAACCAGAUUUUUUUACUUUAUUUAUAAUUAAGUCAACUUUUGUCACUAAAUUUGAAAAACUAAGAGUAGUUGGGAAGGGGAAAAAAGAAAAACUAGUAGAGGAUCCUAAUAAAAGUAGGCAAUUUAAUUUCUCAUUUAUUUUUCACUAUCUAAUUUUAACAAUCUUACAAAAUUUCACAAAAUGGCCAAAAAUUAUCUUCUCUUAUUUAUGAUAUGUAUAAUUCUAGUGAACAAUAACCUAGUUUUCGUCUCUCCUUUUUUAUCUUUUAAAUUGCACAAUGCAAGAGAAUUUAUUAAUUAGUUUUAGCUACCAAUUAGAUAAUUUUAAUAUGAAAUAUUUGAAUUUCAGGUGGUGGAAAGAUUUAGAUUUCACUACAAAGCUGCCUUAUGCAAGAGACAGAAUCGUAGAGUUGUAUUUUUGGAUUGUGGGGACGUAUUUUGAACCAAAGUACACUUUAGCCAGAAAAAUAAUGACCAAAACAAUUUACAUGGCAUCUAUCAUAGAUGACACUUUCGACGCUUAUGGUUUCUUUGAAGAGCUCAAACUCUUUGUAGAAGCAGUCCAGAGGUUUGAAAUAUUUUGUGAUCUAUAUAAAUAUAAUAAAUGAUUAUUAUUAUUAUUAUUAUUAUUAUUAUAAAUUUUCAUUCACACGAUAUAUUACUUCGUAUUCAGGUGGGACAUUGGAGCCAUGGAUAUACUUCCAGAAUACAUGAAAGUGCUUUAUAAGGCCCUUCUAGAUACUUACAACGAAGUUGAGCAAGACUUGGCCAAGGAAGGAAGGUCGUCCUACUUACGUUAUGACAAAGAAAAGGUAGACAAUUAAGGGGUAAACCAUCAAUUAUUCUAUGUAUUUUUAAAAGGGUAAAUGCUUGAAUAGUCUCCGUAUAUAUAUUUCCGGUUAAAUACCUAUUUAGCCCUCAUAUUUUGAAAAAUUCUCAAGGCACCCUUGUUAUUAAAUAUGUGACACUCUUACCCUCAUUUUUUCUUGUCUUUAAUAAUAAUACCUGUACUACCAUUUUGGAGAUUGAUUAACAAAUUAAUCCAUUGUUGUUUAUCAGCAAAUUAACCAAUAAUUAUUCUUGUCUUUUAUAAAAAUUAUUAGACCGAUAGUGUUGAAUAUUUCAUUGAAUUGGUUUGUCGUGCUCAGAUGCAAGAACUUGUUCAAAUGUACUUUGUUCAAGCCAAGUGGUCCAGUGAAGGUUAUGUUCCGACAUGGGAGGAAUAUUAUCCGGUUGGACUUGUAAGUGGCGGCUACUUCAUGCUCGCGACAAAUUCCUUCCUUGGCAUGUGUGAGGUUGCAAACAAGGAAGCUUUUGAAUGGAUAUCCAAGAACCCUAAAAUUUCUAGAGCGUCGUCAGUUAUCAGCAGACUCAUGAAUGACAUUGUUUCCCACCAGGUACGUGCCACACUAUAAAUUAGUUAGUUUAUCAAUUCCCUCUUAAAUCAUGACUAUUUAUAUUUGGAUUUGGAUCUAUUGUUGAAUUGAGUUUUGCUCAGGAUUUUAUAAUCUUCUGCCGUGCUUACAUUUAUAUAGAACAGUGAGGUUUUAUGUACACUCAAGAUUAGAUGAGACUGAUGUCGUGAAAUUUUAAUAAUAAUGUAAUUAUCUAAUAAACUUUCUUUAUUAUAUAUGCGUAUAGUUUGAACAGAAGAGAGGACAUGUUACCACAGGAGUUGAAUGCUACUGUAAGCAGCAUGGUGUUUCAGAAGAAGAGGUAGUUAAAGUUUUUACUGAAGAAGUUGAGAAUGCGUGGAAAGAUAUGAAUGAGGAAUUCCUGAGACCAACUGCUUUUCCUGUGGCUUUAAUUGAGAGACCUUUCAAUAUCGCACGUGUGCUUGAAUUUCUAUACAAGAAGGGUGAUUGUUACACUCAUUCUCAUGCGAUUAAAGACCAGAUUGCCGCCGUGCUCAGAGACCCUGUCACUAUAUGAAGGGUUAUAAGUAUUUCUGUCAGUUAUAUUUCAUGGUGUUUUUGGAAUAAAGUAGGGUUUGUAUCAAGGGAUUGAGUUACUCUUCAUCUCUUGCUGUUUGGGAUAAAAUGUUAUUUAUACCUUCGGGGUAAAUAAGGUGCUUUGAGUCUGAGAUCGAUAUUGGUUAAUGCCACAUGCUUUGCCAUUAAAAGAAUAAUACAACACUUCGUAAUCUUUAAAGAUUUCAUUAAUCAGUAAUUAGAGAAAUCAUAAAAAUCUAUAGUCCGUUAGUUGAAUGACUCAGUUGGAAUAAAAUAUUUUCAAGUGAUCUUUAAAAGUGUAGAAUUAAUGUAACUUGAGAUGAGUGACGGACCCAUUGUUGGGAAAAUAUGCUCUUUAAAAACAUAUGUGUUUAUUUAAUUGUAAUAAAUAAUUUUUUUGAUUAAUAAAAUAAAUGAGGUAUUUUAUUUAAGUAUCUUAAUUACACUAAUAUUUUGAGUAAAGUCCAUUUAAUCAUAUUAUAUGUAUUUAUGUGAUCACCAUGUGGAUUCACAGAAGAUAUAAAUACAAGUUAUCUUAUGAUUAAAUAAAUUAAAUUCACAGUUGAUAAAUAAAGUUGGACACUUUAUUUAGGUAUAAAUUGUAAUAAAUUCAUUGAAUAAUUUGUCUUAAUCAUGUAUGAAUUUAUUGAUGUAGUACGACUACAUUAAACUGGAUUACAUAUGAGAUUUAAUUAACUUUGUAAUAACUGUCAGAUUUAUUAAAUCUCAUAAACAUUGAUUUUACUGUAAUCUUAAUCUUGAGUUAGUUAUAAUUUUAUGAUUGUAAUUUUUAUUCCAUUUGAGUUACCAAUGGGCACGACACAAACUUGUAGUCAAGAUUACCCAGUAUCUUGGUGGGAGAAUUUAUGAGUAUUGAAGUCAUAUAUUAAUAAUAUAGAAUUUGUACAACACAUCUCUUAAUGGAUUUUCGGCACUUGAUCAUAGAAUUCUCUGGCCAGAGUGUGUCAACAUAUUUAGUAUAUUGAAAAUGAUCAUUAGAGAAAACUAGUAAGUAUCAAGGAACAAGAUGUAAUUAAAUUAAUUGGACAGUUGAGAGAUCGAUUUAAUUAACAAUGUGGUACAAAGGAUUAUCCAGUAAGGAGAUUAAUGUGGCUUGGGACGAAUUAUUAUUCAAGUAUACAAUUAUGGAGGUCAGUUCCAAUCUUAUAAUGGAGUAGAGUUGGAAUUAAAUGAUUAGGUUUGUUCAUUUACAGCCUGAAUUAUUAUAGCCACUAUUGUAUGUUCCCAAAUGAUCCAUGUGUUAGCUCAUUUAAUUGACUGCACCUUUACUGGAUCUAAAAAUAAGAAAACUAGCAUAGUAGGUGAUAAACCUAAUUAUAAUAUUGGUUAAGACCUUAUGUGUUAUAUUCAUGUGCAAAUGGGGCCUUGUGUUAUUUUACAAAGUGGGCCCAAAGUGGUUACAUAUGAUCUCCACUUUCACGUAAGUGGAAAGAUAAUAUUAAAUUCAAAAUAUUUAUUAUUUUGAAUUAUAAUAAAGGAUAAUACAUAUCUAGGGUUUUACAAGAGAUAUUAUAUAUAAGUGUAUUUUUCUCAAGAAGAAAAUAUACGGUAUUCCAAAAUACACGUUUUGAAAAAAACACCGCAAAAGAAGCUGAUUGUUUUAGAAGUGGUGAAACAAACGCCCAUAUGUUCAGUACUGAUCAAACUUGAGUUAUAACUUGGAAGAUUAUUUGGUGGUGGAUCGUGAUCUAAUAAAAUUAGUGGUGACGGAUCGUGAUCUAAUUGAAGUAGUGGUGACGGAUCGUGAUCUGGGAGGUUAAAUUAUUUCAGUGAAAAAGCAAAGUCGAAUUGUCAAGGUAUGAUUUUCUAGAUUACAAAUUCUUAUGUAUUGUAUAAGAUCGGUCCUAAAAAUUUUUAUAAGAAAAAAUUGAUUUUAUACUUACACACCCAUAUUAUGACCACAAUGGCAUAAAGUCCCCCUUUAAAACACAUUUACUCAUGGGUUCUUAGUUACAUGCUUUGCACAAAUAGUUAAUUUUUUACUAAAUACAUCAGCACGACUAUUUACAUUCUAAAAAUUAUAUUGAACACUCUUAUUUUAAUAAAUUUAUUUAUUACAAGAAUACCUUAAAUAUGAAUUACUAUUACAAUAAUAUUAGGAAUCUCAAUAUUUGGGUUUCAAUUUGAGUCUCAAUGCCAUUUGUCACUCACCUAUUAGAUGAUGUAUUUAAUAGCUCGUAAAAUUACUUAACCAUUAUUCAAUGGAUGAAUGCUCACAUCAUUUAGGACUCAAAUUUGGACUUAAAUAUUAUGAUGCUUAGCAUUGCUCUUGCUAUAAAGAACAAUCAAUAUGAAUUAUUGUAAUGUAAUUACAUCAAACUCAUCCAAUUGUUAAUGAACUAAUUAAUCCAUUCACUUUUUUUUAAAAACUAAUCCAUUUACAAUUAACAUUUGUUAUAUUACCCCAAAAAUUGCUAGAAAAAUUAAAUCUAUAACAUUUAAAUCUAAAUCUCUAUGCAAUAUUUAAUUAUUCUUCACCCAGUAUACAUAUGUAUUGCUACAACAUAUAUUUUCAUUUCUGAAAGGAAUUUAGAUCUAUUACAAAUAGAUGUAGGCAAUUAAAAUAAAAAAAAUUAACAACUUAAUUAAUUUUUCGGAAGUACUGUUCACUGUUAUUGUUUGCCAUUACUGUUCACGAUUAUUGUUCAUCCGCAUAAAAAAUAUUAAUUUUUCAAAAACACAAUAAAAUGCAGAAAAUAAAUGGCACGGAGAUUUUUACGUGGUUUGGAUUAAUCAAUCCUACAUUCACGAGGCCACGCCUAGAUGAAAAGCAAUUCACUAAUGGUGCGUUUACUUCAUGUGAAUGAGAAUAAACUGGGAAUUGGAAUGGGCUGGAAUGGAAAUGAUGAAUGGGAAUGAGAUUUCAAUGUUUACUUGACAAAAAUAAAUAGGAAUGAGAAUGUGCUGGAAUACCAUUGAUGUGUUUACUUGACAAAAUAAAUGGGAAUGUGAAUCAAUUUACCAAAAUAGCCAUAGUAUUAAUAAUUAAUAAAAAUAAUUAAUUUAUCAUUAUUAACAAUAUUAUCAUUAUUAACAUUUAUUAUUAUUAUUAUUAUUAUUUUAAUAAAUAUCAUUUUUAUAAUAAUAUUUAUACAUGUAUCUAGAUAAUGAAAAUUACAUUAUUAUUAUUAUUAUUAAAUUUUAUUAACUUUAUUAUUUUAGUUAUUAUUAAUUAUUAUUAUUAUUAUUAAUAUAAUAAUAAUAAUAAUAAUAACAACAACAACAAUAAUGAUAAUAUUGUUAAUAAUGAUAAAUUAAUAAUUUUUAUUAAUUAUUAUUUUUAUCAUUAUUUUUAUUGUUAAUAAUGAUAAUAUUAAUAAAAAUAAAAAUAAUAAUUAAUAAUAACUAAAAUAAUAAAUUUAAUAAAAUUUAAUAAUAAUAAUAAUUAUUAUUAAUGACAUUUAAAAUAAUAAAAUUAAUUGUGAUUUGAAUGAGGGUAAUUUGAGAAAUAUGAAAAAAGUAGAGGGAUACAAAAGUAAACAUAUAUUCCAUUCUCACUCCCAACCCCCCCAUGGGAAUGAGAUUCCCAUUCCUUAUUCCCAAAUUGUGUGGGACCCACACAUUUUAUUUCAAUUCUCAAAUUACAUUUUGCCAAGUAAACAUGGGCUUCAUUCAUAUUCCUUCAUUUCCAUUCCCUAUUCCAUGAAGUAAACAUAUCAUAAGUUGAGAUGUUACAACCUAUGGAUUUACUAAUUUAAGACUCUUACUUACAGUUUAUCACCAUACAAUUUACUCAACCUUAGACUAAAGCUGCUUCUCUUGAAUAAUUGCUACCCUUCUUGAUCCACGAUCCUCAAGGCAUUUCAAAAAGUGAUCAAUAACAAUUCUUCAAUUCUUCAACGCCUAGUGAUCUAAGAUUCACAUAGACUCUCCAUAGAGAUGAAAAGAAGAUAAGAAAACAAAUCAACACAACAUUAUGCGCCAAAUCCGGAUUCUCAAGGGAGGAAGCCGAAUUUUGCUUCUUUGCUUUAUGCUUUGUGUUGUGCGUGCCUUCAAUUGUAAAAUACCCCUCUUUAUAUAGGCACUAGGAUUUCACCAAAAUAGUAAGUCUUAAAAGACUUAGAUACUUUCCAAAUAAGAGUGUCUUUCCUCUUAUAAUUCGUAUGAAUCUGAAUAGGAAUAAAUAUGAUAUUCUUGCCUUACUUGUCUCCCAAGAAAUAUCUAGAGCAUUAAAUGACUUCCUAUUUGAACCAACUUUUUACUCUAAAUAAAUCUCAUGCGCCAAUUAUAGAAUCUCAUCAUUAAUUGACUUGCUAAAUUAGACAUCUAAUUAAAUUAGGAAAUAAAUAUUCAUAAUAAAUUAGAAUCUCACCAAAUUAGGGAAUUAAUAAACUAAUCUCUAUUACAAGAUAUGCAAUAAAUAAACUUCCAAUUUAACUAGACUUGCCAUAAGAUGCCAACUCUAUAAAUAAUGGACUUGACAAUUUCCCUGUUUCUUUCUUUCCAAUUUUUUUUUGAAAAAUUCCCUGAGUUUUAUUAAAAUAGAUGAAUGGUUAUACAAAAUAGAUAAAUUAGAAUGAAGAAUUUAGAAUUUGAUAGGAGUUAAAACGAGUUUUUGAAAACUUAAUAACUAAGUAUAAAUAAAUUGGCUUGAUUGUAGUGUUGUAAGUAUAUAUUUUAAUUUCUGUGGAAAUUUUUGGGUGUGUUGAAUAGUUUUAUGGGUGUAUAAAGCAUAAAAAGAUUAUCAAUUUAAAUAUUUAAGUGAGUAUUUUUUUGCUAUUUAAAUGAGUGUACAAAGUAAAAUCUACUUUCUUAAAUUUGGUAGAUAAAUGUACAAAGUAAUAGAGCAUUGAAAAUAUUUUUUAGAAUAUAAAUAACUGCACACUAAAUAUAUUCAUUCAAGCCCCCGUAAUUUUGAUUUCAAAUAGACCACAUUAAAAUCUUUUGUAUAUUAAAAAGUUAAAAGAAUUAAAUAAUCAAAAGUUUUGCCGGCUUUUGCCAUACAUAAGCAUUUUUUUUAAUUUAGAAAAGACUAUUUUAAUCUAAAAUUAAAUCAAAUUGAUUCAUUGUGUACUAAUUUCCACUUGUCUAAAACCUAAACUUCUUCCCCAAUUGAACAUUUGCAGUCCGAAUUCCUACAAGAAUUCAAUUGUAUGUUUGCGAUUUGCAAGAUUACAACUGCUGCUCUUCAAUUAAGUUUCAACCGUUAUUCUUACUCUAGGGUUUAAAACUCAGGUUCGAGUUUGGGUUCGAGUCUAGGUAUGGCAAUAUUCAUAUUCGAUUUAGAUAAAUUUUUUAGCCACCCCAGCUAGGCACUAGAAAAUUUUUUAAUUGGGGUGUUUAAGCUUGGAUUUUAUAUUUUAUAAUUUUAUAUAUGCAUAUAUUUUUUUAAUUUUUUAAUUUAAUAAUUUUUAAAUAUACUUUAAAUGUUAAAAAUUUUUAAUAUAUGUAAUAAAUGGAUCAAAUAAAUAUAAUUAUUAAAAAUGAUUUAUAUUUUUAAUUUUUUUUAUAAAAUCUGGGUUCUAGGCCGGACGCCAAGCUUAUUAAGUGACACCCGAGACUGGCUCAGCCUGGCCUUAAUUCUGGGUUGGGCAUCGUUCAGGUCGGGCCCAAGUCCAAUCUAGGUGGAUAUUUUUUUCAUCUUUUAUUCAUAAUUAUAAAUGAAGAAGAUUUGCUUAUUUUUGUUAUUGUAUGAUAUUGACAUGUUUACAUAAUUAACAAAUAAAACACAUCAAAUAUGAUUGUAGUAAUAAAUCAAAAUAACUUUCAAGUCUUUUAUUUAAUUCUUUUCAGUAAAUAUAGUUGAACUUGUUAUUUAUCAUUGGUUAAUUUUAAUAUCUCAAUAGCCCUACUAAAUAAAUUUCCUUUUUAAAAAAAUUAUUCUUUAUUAUUGUUGUUGGUUGCGUAUUGCUAUAGGUGUCAAUGUGCAAGUGUACACAACAAGUAAUCUAAUGAUGAGUAUUUAGAUCGUUUCAUAGGGAUUGAUGUUAUAGAACUUACUACAGCAAUCUUAACAGUGCAAUUUUAGUCUAAAUUAAAAUAAAAUAAUUAAUGAAGUUAAUAAACUAACUAAAUUAAAAAUGCAAUAAACAAAAUUUAAUAAGGAAAACCUCAAAUCAAAUUGAAAGAUGUAUUCAAUGGGAAAUGAGUAGUUGAGUGGUUAAAUUCACUUAAUAGUAUUGACUGUUUGUCCAAUUAAGAUUCUGUUGCUACAUUAUCUACCAUAGCAUUUGGGUAGAAUCCCUCAUUCAUCCUCAGCUGUCGUCUGUUGGAUAUCUUAUAUCUAAAUGCAAUCUAAUAGUGACCAAUUGUUACGCUAAUAUUAGAUAUAACAUUAUGCAUUCUAAGCUGUAAUUGCCCUACAAUGUGAAUGUAUAUGCCUAAUUCUUCAUUAAUAUUAGAUCAAGCAUGACCCUAUUCAAAUCAAGAUUAACUCAACUUGGGAAAUUCAAUUUAAAACCAUGUAUUGUCUUAAUUUGUUCCACUAAGUAAAAUAUUUUUUAAGCUCAUUCUUAGCUAGUAUCCGCUAAAUGGGUGGUCAACCGAAAUAGAGAAUUACAAUAAGUAAAAUCAAGACAAAAUGCUACAGUAGAUUCUGAGCAACACACAUAUAUCAGUCAAAUAACCAUUAAGUUUGUUUAACACUCAACCACAACAAAGUUUAGUUCAUAAUAUGCGAUAAAACAAUAACAAAAAUCGUUUUAGCCAUCAAAUACAUUCCCAUAAAAAAAACAAGUAAAUAAAGAUAAGGAGUUGAGUUCCGCUUGGUCCUUGCAAUCUUUCCUUCGUUUCCUUCUGGAAACCCUUACUGCAGCCCUCAAAUCUCUCUUGUUCUCUAUUUAUUCUUUUGUUUUCUCUCUUAUUUUUCCUGAGUGACGGCUCUCUCUUGUUUCUUUUAUGUGUGCUCGUUUUAUAUCUUAAAAUUAGGGCAACCAAAAGCAUGUGGCCGUUGUCUCCUUUUUUUGGAAACCUCGAAUCACAAUCUUUUUGUGUCUGUUGCUGCUUUGUCAAUUAACACGCGGGUAAUCUUGUCUGCAGUUGCUCCAGGAUUACUGCAGCAAUGGCUACAAUAUCUUCUCUGUUUCAGACUUGUUUUAGUUCCUCUGCAGCCAAGUUCUUUGUCAUCUUUGCAAGUCUGCUGUUGCAGCAUCCAUCCCUAAAACUUGAGUUUUUUUAUCACCUAUAAUUAUGCACAUAAUUAGAACACAAAUUGAUGUAAACCACAAUAGAUUUAUUAAAAAUUAAAUUUAAACAGAUGCUUAAUUAAAAAUACAAUAAAAACACAUCAUUUACUCUCUAAGUAAUAUUGAUUUAAGUCUAAAAAUGUAAUGAUAACUCUCAUUUCAUAGAAUUAUCACCUACAAUGUUAUGUCCAUGAAGCAUUUAAUUGAGUAGAGAUUAGCUUUACACUUGGGAUGCCAUUAAAGGAUUCCUUAAGAGCAUGUUAGGUGAGUGGAAUAUGUUUAGUGCUAUGAUGAAAGCUUGGUAGAACAUGUUGGGUGAUGUUUAUUGUUAUGAUUAUGUUUGUGUUUCAUUCACUAUAAAUACCUAUGCCAUUUGUGUUGUAUGCAUCAAGUGUAAGAAAAAGAAAGCAUAAGAAGCAAAACAUAGCUUCUAAGAGUGAUUUGUGAGAGUGUGUGAAUUGUUCUUGAGUUUUUUCUAAUAAAAUUUGUGUUUUUACUCUUCAAAUUCUCCAAUGAGAAGAUCAAACUCAUCACCAUCAUUAACCAGUACUGGAAUCACCAUGAAAUGGACCCAAAGCUUGAGCAUUGGCGAAAAUUUUGAAGUGAAAGAAUUGGUUCAACUUUUGGGCUAAAAGCCAUAGUAAAAAACCACUACAAGAAUUAUGGUCAUUUGCGACCAACAAAUUCAGUACAAAAUCACACAAUUUGUUGCUAAAAAAAUGUACCAAAAAAUAUUUUGUCACAGGUUCAUUACAUUAAUUCCAUCAAGGAAAUUAUCAGCGACCACCAUAUAAUUUGGUCGUAAAAUAACACUUUUAACAACAAAUAUAGUGAUCGCUAAAUAUCAUUUUGUUUCUGUUGAAAUGCGAGCUUAAAACUGGAUUUUAAAAGGUGCUGAUAUGUCAGUUUGUCGCCUCGAUCGUGUAGUACUUACUUGCUAAGUCAAAACAAAGAAUAUGACAUUCAUGUAAUGUCUGUCAUUUCUAGUUAGUAAUCACAUGUGCUUCACGUGAUUUCACUUACUUUAUACAUCAUACUAGGAAAUAGAACCGCACUUUGUGCGGCUUUAAAAAAAGAAUUUAGUAUUAUUUUUUUAAUUUCUUUACACUUGAUAAAACUGAUAAAAAAUAUGAAUUGAUUUUUUUUUAAAAGAUGACGCAGCCUUAUAAAACUAAUGUUAUUUAUGAAAGUUAAUUAUUUUUUUGUUAACUUUAAAAAUAUAUAUUAAUGUGUAUAGUUAAGUGUACACAACCUUUUUAUCAAUAAAAAUUAUGUUCACACUAAUCAACUCUCCAUUCUUCUUGGUAUUAACAGACUCCCACAUUUUACAAAGCCUAACCCUUAUCAUCCAACUAUUUUUAUCAUUGUUUAACUCAUGAAGAAAAAAAUACUCCAUGAAGCACACAAUACAAAAAAUUUAAAUAAGUCAAAAAAAUAAAAACACAAGAACAUUUCUAAAGAGAAUGUUGGUUAAAUAAUAAAAAAAAUCCAAACAUAACAAAUCUUAAAUGCUUAAUAUUUAUAUAGUUUGAAGAAGCUAAAAGACACUAAAUAAAAGAUUGCAUAAUUAAAUAUGAAAUUAUGACAUUAAAAUUAGGUUCUAGUGGUAUUGGUGAGGGAAGAUAAAAGAACAUUCCCUCCUAUAUUAAUUAGUUGAUAUAUUUUAAACCACUAAAGUUUAGUUGUUGACUUAAUAAAAUAAAUGAAUGUUUCAAAACUAUAAUUAAUUUAUUAUUAAUGCUUACAUAUUGUUGAAUUUAAAUAGAAAGAAGAAGAGACAUGUAAUCUUUUAUAAUCUACUAAUUAUUUUCUAUUUUUAAUAUUUUGUAAUGUAAUUAUUUUUUAAGACUUGUGUUUUAUUUUGAUUUCUGUUGGUGUGGUGAAUUUCUUACUGGUAGUAAGUCCCGUCAUAGGAUAAGUUUUCCACUUAGGGCAGUAAAACCAUACCUGUAACCAUAUUGACAGGACCAUAGAUAAACUAUAGGUUUUUGUUCAUGGAUUUUCUACUCUGUAGAGCAUCAUCUUUUUCUAGCUCUUCUUCUGGAAGAACUAGUGAUUCAAAGAAUGUUGUUAAUUCGGAAGAAUUUGUGAUUGAAGAUUUCAACAAAGCAAUUGAUAAUUGGGAACUACCUAAAGUUUAUAAAGAAAUGAUUUACAAAACAAAAAAGCUUGAUUUUUUAAAGAAUGAUUAUGUUAUAAAGACUGAAGAACGCGAUAUAACCCUUGCAAAUCCUUUUGAAACAAUCCAUUUAUUUUCAGGGCAAUCUUUAAAGAAGUUAAGGGAUAAAAAUUUUAAUUAUAUUCAUAUCAGCUUAAUACAAGUCGGCAUAAAACCCCUUACUAAAGAAGGUCUUAAUACUUCUAUUCUUGCCGUACUAAGAGAUGGUCGAUUCAUCUCUUUUGAUGAUUCUUUACUAAGUAGUAUAGAAUCAAGUCUGUGUAAAUGUUCCAUUUCAUUUAAUUGUUAUCUAAACAUAACAAUUUCUUUAAAAGACAAAAACAUUUUAAAAAGUAUGAUCUUACAAAUUAAGACCUACAAUUAUGAUAUGAUUGCGGGAUCAAUUCCUGUAGCCUUAAUUUAUAAAAUUUCUUACAAAGCCAUGAUUUCUGCGUUUAGUACGCAACACAAAUUCCAGUCCAAAAGAGAUAAGACUCUUCUCUUGCAGACUGACCUGUCUAAAGCCAAUACUAUUAUUCCGAAACCUAUCCAAUGGAAAGAUGUCAAUCUCCCUGAUGAAUGGAUUCUUGAAGGAGCCACUGCUCCAGUGAUUCCAAAACAACUUGAGCCAAAUACAGAGUUGCAAAAUGUGACUCAGUAUUCUGAUGGUAGAGUCAAAUUGUCCUUUAGGAGAUCUACUUCGACUAGAUUCUCCGAUAAAGAUUCUUGCUCAAGCAUUCCUUCAUUAGAAAGAAAAUUUACAAAAGUCCCUUUCGUAAUAAAUCUCCAUUUUCAAUAAGUACAAAAUCAACCUAGGUUUUCCACUUCGGAUAUACCUAGUUCCUCUAUACAUUCUGUUGAUUAUACCACUAGUGUUCCUCACCCAAUCUACACUAGUAGUCAACAUGAACAAAGACAGGAAGAGAAGGAACCUUCUCCUCCAACUUCUCCUACGUUUUCUGCAGUCACAGAAAAUGUAAUAAAUGUUAUUGAAAAAGAUUUUGAACUGGACAAAACUCUUCUCCAUAAUGAUUUUUAUUCGGAUAAUAAUAAAGAAAAAAAACUUUGGUUUUUUAAACAUUUUCUAAAUCAAAGAAAAGAGAUUCAAGAGACAUAUUAUGAAUUUGUAAACUCACAUAAAAUUCAUAUAUUGUUUUUUGAUUGGUUUGAGAUAUAUUCUUCAAAUAACAACAUCUCUUAUCCUUUUAAAGAGUCAAACCCUAUUACUAUUAGGAAGAAAAUUCAUGAGUGGAAACUUUCUGAUGGUGAUAGAACUAUAGAAUCUAAGCAUCCACCUCUUAGGAGUUUAACUGUUGAUCACGGUGAACCUCCUGUCCAAAUUAGAGUCUCACCUUAUAAAAUCCCUAAACCCAAUGAUUCUGAUGCGAAUUUAAGUAGUAUUAUUCAACAGAAUAAUUUCUGUAAUACUAACUUAAAUACGAUAGGAAAACAGUUGACUAGGAUAGAAAGCCAAUUCCAAAGGUCAACCAUAGCUGUUUCUCCUAUUAGCACAAAAUCAGAUUCUGACAAAAAGCUCAAGGAACCUAUUUUCAAACCUUUUCAGAUUUCGAAAACUAGUCAAAAGCUUGUUCAAGAGUCAAAAUCAGAUUUUACUAAAGCUAUUAGAGACCAAUUAGAUAGAAUAAAAGCUUCUUCUUCUUCUUCUUCUAAGGUCCAGAUUGCCCCCGGUAGUGCUCAAUCUAGCAAUAUUGGUGUACUAGAACAUGACAAUGUUUCUAUAGCCUCUUCAGAUAUAGAAGCAUUUAGAGAAGAACCGCCUGUUCCUAAAGCCAAUAAAAUCCAUUGGGAUUUAGCCCUACCUACUGUCAAGACUCCACCAGAUCUAGCUAUAGAUAAUAGACCAAGGGUUUUAAAUCAGUCACGAUUUAAUGCAUCUUCCGUCUAUGAGUGGAAUAUUGAUGGUAUGUCUGAGUAUAACAUCUUAGGAUUGUUGCAACAGAUGACUAUGACAGCCAAUGCCUAUAAAACUUAGUCAGGAACUUCUGAUAGAGCUAUAGCAGAAAUUCUUAUCACUGGGUUUACUGGUCAACUUAAAGGUUGGUGGGAUCAUCUCCUUACUCAACAGCAACAAUUAGAUGUCCUAAACUCUAUUCAAGUCGAUGAGAAUGAAGCCCCCAUUCUUGAUGAGUUCAAUAGUCCAAUUCAGGAUGCUGUUGCUACCCUGAUUUUGACUAUAUCCCUUCAUUUCAUAGGUGACCCUUCGCACCUUAGAGAUAAGAACGCUGAGUUACUACACAAUCUCAGGUGUAGGAAACUUAGUGAAUUCCAAAGCUAUAAAACCACUUUCUUUACCAGACUUUUCCUUAGGGAUGAUGCAAAUCAUACAACUUGGAAGGAAAAAUUCCUUGUAGGUUUACCUACCCUUUUAGGAGAUAAGGUUAGAAAUUCCAUUAAAGCCUUGUAUGACAACCGUAUUCCUUAUGACGAGCUUACCUAUGGUGAACUUGUCAGUUUUGUCAACAAAGAAGGUUUAAAGAUUUGUCAAGAUUUGAAGUUACAGAAACAACUAAAAUGGGAGCUUAGAAAAUCUAAGCAAGAAUUAGGCAGUUUCUGUAAACAAUCAAUUAUGACCCCUUUAAAACUUCUACUUCCAAAGACUAUAAUGGUAAGUAUUUUUCAAAACCUUAUAAGAAACAUUACAAGUCAAGAAACCAUAAAAAGCCCUUUCAAGAUUUUAGAGAACUUUCUUAUAAGAAACCCUCGAGACCUUAUAAAAAGCCCAACUUCCCUAAAAAGAAAGAGUUUAGAGCCAAACCGAAAACCCCUUUUAAUUACAAAGAAGCCACAUGUUAUAAAUGUGGAAAGAAAGGCCACACUGUAAAAUUUUGUAGAAUGAACAGAAAGCUCCAAGAACUUGGCCUUGAUGAAGAAAUCCUUUCUAAAGUUGCCCCUCUUCUUGUAGAGUCUUCUGACUUUGAGUCUUCCAUGACGGGAGACAGUGAACCUUUACAGGUUGAUGAGUUAAAUGACUCUGAAUCUGUUUCUGCUAGUGAUUCCGACACCAGUAAUUCAGAUUUAUAUCUAAAGAAAAUCAAUGAUUUGACUAAAGACCAAGAAACUUUUCUUGAGCUUGUUAAACAUAUUUCUGAUCCAAAUCUUCAAAAGGAAUACCUUGAUAAACUUUUAAAAACCCUGGAUUCUAAUAAAGCAGAAACUUCUAAAGUUCCAAUUGUUAAAAAGAAUUCUUAUGACCUUACUGAAAUUUUGGGUAAAAAGAAAACAAAGAAAACAAUCCCCAAUAUCCAAGAUCUUCAAAAAGAAAUCAAAGAAAUCAAACUUGAGAUUAAAGAACUAAAAGAAAAACAAAAGAAUGAUUCUGAAACUAUUCAACUUCUCUUACAAAAACAAUUAGAAGGUAAUUCAGACAAAGAAGUUGAAUCCGAUGGUGAUAAUGAUCAAAAUCUUGAAAACAUUGAAUCUGUGCCCAAUGAUUUUCUGUUUGUUUUAAAACAAACACCACCAGAAAAUACUUGAUUAAAAUCACUUUAAUUUUUUCUAAAGAUUUUGAAAUUGACACCAUUGCCCUCUUUGACACUGGUGCCGAUCUAAACUGCAUUAAAGAAGAUAUUGUCCCUAAAAAAUUUCAUGAAAAGACAAAGGAAAGACUUUCUGCCGCCAAUAAUUCAAAACUAAAAAUUAAAUCAAAAGUUGAUGCCUCAGUGCAUAACAAUGGUUUUGAAUUCAGAACUUCUUUUCUUCUUACAAAUGACAUACAUCAUACUGUCAUUUUAGGAACUCCGGUUAUAAAUCUCAUUACCCCAUACACUGUCAAUUAUGAUAAUAUAUCUUUUAAAGCAAAAAAUAAAAAACUUGUUUUCCCUUUUAUAGAAAGGCCUAAAACAAGAAAUUUGAACAUUGUUAAAGCUUGUUCUGUUUACCAGAACCAAAUCAAUUCCAUACUCAAAUCCAAACAAAAUAACUUGUUUUGUUUAAAAAAGGAUUUAAGUUUACAAAGAAUUGAAAGCCAAUUACAAAAUGAUUUUGUACAAAGAAAAAUCUCUGAUUUUAAAGAUCUUAUCGAAAAAGAAAUAUGCGUUGAUUUACCAUCUGCUUUUUGGAACAGAAAACAACAUUUGGUAGAUUUGCCCUACGAAAAUUCUUUUGAUGAAAGACAAAUACCCACUAAAGCCCGUCCAAUCCAAAUGAACAUGGAAUUGGAACAACACUGUAAAAAUGAGAUAAAAGAUUUAGAAACUAAAGGACUCAUUGUAAAAUCUAGAUCACCAUGGUCUUGCGUCGCUUUUUAUGUAAAUAAAAAUUUCGAAAUAGAAAGAGGAACACCAAGACUUGUAAUAAAUUACAAACCCUUAAAUAAAGCAUUAAAAUGGAUUAGGUAUCCUAUACCUAAUAAGAAGGAUUUGCUCCAGAAAUUAUGUUCUGCCUUUAUUUUUUCAAAAUUUGACAUGAAAUCUGGUUUUUGGCAAAUUCAAAUUCACCUUAAAGUCCAUUACAAGACUGCUUUUACUGUUCCUUUUGGACAGUAUGAAUGGACUGUAAUGCCAUUCGGACUCAAGAAUGCACCCUCAGAAUUUCAAAGAAUCAUGAAUGAUAUUUAUAAUCAUUUUUCUGAGUUUUGCAUUGUUUAUAUCGAUGAUGUGUUGAUUUUUUCUCAAACGAUUGAUCAACAUUUCAAGCAUUUAAAAACAUUUUACCUUGCCACUAGAAAGGCUAGCCUAGCCAUUUCUAGUUCUAAAGUCUCAUUAUUUUAAACAAAAGUCCGUUUCCUUGGCCAUCAUAUUUCCAAAGGAACAAUUACCCCUAUUGAAAGAUCUCUUGCAUUUGCUGACAAAUUUCCUGAUAAAAUUCUCGAUAAAACUCAAUUGUAAAGAUUUCUUGGUAGUUUAAACUAUGUUCUUGAUUUCUGCCCUAACAUCAAUCGGAUGUCCAAACCAUUGCAUGAUAGGCUAAAAAAGAAUCCUGUUGCAUGGACAGACGAACAUACUAAAGUUGUUAAAUUAAUAAAGAAUUCUGCAAGAAACAUUCCAUGUUUAUUUCUUGCAAAUCCUACAUUACCUAAAAUUGUUGAAACAGAUGCAUCAGAUUUAGGUUAUGGAGGUAUAUUGAAACAAAAGAAAGAUAAUAAAGAACGAAUAGUACAAUAACUAGAAGGAAAUAUGAUUGAAGGAGGGAUGUUAAUGCAAAAGAUCUAUUAUGAACAGGAAUUUAAUAAAGCAAAGAAAUAAAUGGAUCUGCUUUGGUACGCGGUUGGUUGAUUUUAAAUAUAAUUAAAUUGGUACGUGGCAUUGUUGAACCCUAAUCAGUGCAGAGACUAGUCUGCCUUUGGAACCAGAUCUGACUUAGAACAAAUCAAUAUCCCACAUGUUCAGGUUUUCCAGCCGAUAUACCCUUUUAAUUAUUGCUUUACCAAAUAUUGAUUAGGUUCUUUAAUCAAGCCUAGCAACAAAUCUAUAGGCUCAUAGAUAGUACUAGAUCUGGAUCCCAGAAAUAGCACUCUGAAUGGAUGGAGGGAGAAAAGAAAGAUACAACUGAGGAUAGAGAUCAGGUCUCGUUGCCUAAGAGGAAUGUAGCAGUUAUAAGGCAGAUCUGAUAUAGAUCAGUCUGCAGAGCAUGCAUAAAAUUUAAAUGACUGAAAGUUAAAUUCUUUAAAUUAAAUUACGAAAUUUAAACAUACAGAACUUUUAAAAUUACAAGCUUUAAAAAGAAUUACAAACCUUACAUUUGAUUUUUCUUGUCUUUGUUCUUCUUUAAAGAGAAAUAAGAAAUGGGAAAUUAAUUUGAAGACAGGAAAAAUUUCCUUGAUGCCUUCGGAUUUCUGAUUCCCAGAGAGAGAGGGAGAGAGAGGAGAAAGAAAAGAAAGAGGCAAUCGAAAAGAAUUGGUGAGUCCGAGUCUUCACCUCCUCUUUUUAUACAACUGAUGCUUUAUAAAGUAAAUAAGUAAAACUUGUCUUCACAUGCGUUGCUGGUGGAGAGUGGGACCAGAACAUGAUGAAAGUGGAGAUAGCAUAAUUAUCUGCUUUAUGGAUUUGGAGAAGGCUUCACGUGAGUGGGGCCAAAGCUUUAAGAGAGAUUCCCGGAAGUGGGCCUUGAACUUUGAAAUAAAGUAAAGGUUUUGGGUGAAGAGACAUGUGCGCUCUCACUUGUGUCCAGGGGACCACCCAAAGGUACAUACAUAUAAUAAUGCUGGAAUUACAAAGGAUAAAAUUUACAAAAUGAAAAAUUACUUUUUUUUUAAUAAUAGUAACUAUUUACAAUGCUUUAUUGGAGGGAAAAUUCUGAAACAAUCAUCUUCAUUUUCGUCUCCAAGAGAAAUAAAUGGCUCUUCAUCUUCUUCAUCGUCAUCAGAGGAAGCGGCAACUGAAGACUUUGAUCUUGAGGUAAGGAGCUGCUCCAUAACUUUAAAAUAUUCUUCUUCAGUCUUAGCGCUGGCCAAAAGAGAUUGGGCUUUGGAUUUUUGGGUAAGAAAGGUUUCUUGGGCUUUGACAUCUUUAAUGGUGGGGGGUAAAAAGCCUUUAGAACAGAGCCAAUUUUGGAUCAGAGUAUCAGUUAAUUUGGACUGUUCGUCAAACUUUGACCACCAUUUUACUUUAAAGGUUCUUUGUAAGAUAAGUUGGGCUUCUUGGGUGUGAUAUCUUAGAUUCCACAUCCAUACCCAUGAGAGGAAGAAAUUUGUACAAAAACAAAGAAAGGGAGGAAACCUUUUCUCGAAUUCAGAUGGGACAUAGUGUGCUUUAAAGAGGUUAAACAAUGGGUGGCAUUUGGGGUUAGAAUUUGUGGUAUUGGGCCAAAAGAGUUCCACCAUUGUUGAAACCAAUUAGGGAGGCUUUGAACGGUUAUUUUUGAAUUGAAGAAAAAUAACCAGGAAUGUGAUUUCUUUGGGUUUUGUAUGAAAAAUGUGUUAAACCAGGCUUGUUGGUAAUCCCAAUAAGAAUAAGACAAACAAUGUGGUAAACGCAUUUGAAAGUUUGGAGGGAAGCUUUUUUGUUUGUGAAGUUGAUCACCCCACUGGUUUGGGCUCAAGACUUUUAGGAUAGUAGCCGUAGAGUAGGCUGGCUCUAAAUGUGUUUCACUGAGAAAGAAAUGUUUGAAUUUUACUGACUCAGUGGCUUCUAAAAUGCUUUGAUAGUAAGACUGGAGUUUUGUCAAAUCCCAUGGUUUGAAAAACCAGCCUUUAGGGAAAAACUUUGAAAUAGCUUGAAAUGGAUCAGUAUGGUAAAACCCAUCUUCCAUAGAUAAAAUAUUUUGGAAAUUAGUUUUAUCAAACCAAUUGGAAGAUUUCUUUGAAAGUUUUGGCUGGGAAAGAACAAUUUGAGAAGAUGAACUUUCACCAGAAACAACUACAUUUUGAGAAGAGGGUUUUGAAAUUUCUUUGGAAAUAUUUUCUUUAGGAGAAUUUUGGCUUUGAGAAAAACUUUGUAAAGCGAGCAUAAGCUCAGGGGAUUUAGAAAUGGAUUUCAUCCACUCAUUUACCUGUUCAUGUGAGGCAAGGGCUUUAGACUGGGCUUCUUGAUCUUCUAUCAUGUCAAUCCAAGACUUGAUUGGCAUGGCAGAAGAAAGCAAUUUUUCUUUAGAGGGGGUUGAUUGGGGUUCUUUGGAGGUUUCUUGUGAUUCGAUGUCUUUAAGAACGGCUUUGCCUUUGUCUUUCUUUUUGGGCGGCAUUAUCUGUUUUGAAGAAAUUCCCUGGUUAGAAAAUCAGGGAUAGAAUUUGUAUCGCCUUUAAUGAAUUCAAUAUCAAAAUAAAAAACACUCAAAAUAAAACACAACUUUAGAAAGGAUUUCUUCAUCAAGGCCAAGUUCUUGGAGCUUUCUGUUCAUUCUGUAAAAUUUUACAGUGUGGCCUUUCUUUCCACAUUUAUAACAUGUGGCUUCUUUGUAAUUAAAAGGGGUUUUCGGUUUGGCUCUAAACUCUUUCUUUUUAGGGAAGUUGGGCUUUUUAUAAGGCCUCGAGGAUUUCUUAUAAGAAAGUUCUCUAAAAUCUUGAUAGGGCUUUUUAUGGUUUCUUGACUUGUAAUGUUUCUUGUAAGGUUUUGAAAAACACUUACCAUUACAGUUUUUGGAAGUGGAAGUUUUAAAAGGGUCAUAAUUGAAUUGUUUACAGAAACUGCCUAAUUCUUGCUUAGAUUUUCUAAGCUCCCAUUUUAGUCAUUUCUGUAACUUCAAAUCUUGACAAAUCUUUAAACCUUCUUUGUUGACAAAAUUGACAAGUUCACCAUAGGUAAGCUCGUCAUAAGGAAUACGGUUGUCAUACAAGGCUUUAAUGGAAUUUCUAACUUCUCUCCUAAAAGGGUAGGUAAACCUGCAAGGAAUUUUUCCUUCCAAGUUGUAUGAUUUGCAUAAUCUCUAAGGAAAAGUCUGGUAAAGAAAGUGGUUUUAUAGCUUUGGAAUUCACUAAGUUUCCUACACCCGAGAUUGUGUAGUAACUCAGCGUUCUUAUCUCUAAGGUGCGAAGGGUCAUCUAUGAAAUGAAGGGAUAUAGUCAAAAUCAGGGUAGCAACAGCAUCCUGAAUUGGACUAUUAACUCAUCAAGAAUGGGGGCUCCAUUGGCAUCGACUUGAAUAGAGUUUAGGACAUCUACUUGUUGCUGUUGAGUAAGGAGAUGAUCCCACCAACCUUUAAGUUGACCAGUAAACCCAGCGAUAAGAAUUUCUGCUAUAGCUCUAUCAGAAGUUCCCGACUGAGUUUUAUAGGCAUUGGCUGCCAUAGUCAUCUGUUGCAACAAUCCUAAGAUGUUAUACUCAGACAUACCAUCAAUAUUCCACUCAUAGACGGAAGAUGCAUUAAAUCGUGACUGAUUUAAAACACUUGGUCUAUUAUCUAUAGCUAGAUCUGGUGGAGUCUUGACAGUAGGUAGGGCUAAAUCCCAAUGGAUUUUAUUGGCUUUAGGCACAGGCGGUUCUUCUCUAAAUGCUUCUAUAUCUGAAGAGGCAUUAGAAACAUUGUCAUGUUCUAGUACACCAAUCUUGCUAGAUUGAGCACUACCGGGGGCAAUCUGGACCUUAGAAGAAAAAGAAGAAGAAGCUUUUAUUCUAUCUAAUUGGUCUCUAAUAGCUUUAGCAAAAUCUGAUUUUGACUCUUGAACAAGCUUUUGACUAGUUUUCGAAAUCUGAAAAGGUUUAAAAAUAGGUUCCUUAAGCUUUUUGUCAGAAUCCGAUUUUGUGCUAAUAGGAGAAACAACUAUGGUUGACCUUUGGAAUUGGCUUUCUAUCCUAGUCAAUUGUUUUCCUAUCGUAUUUAAGUUAGUAUUACAGAAAUUAUUCUGUUGAAUAAUACUACUUAAAUUCGCAUCAGAAUUAUUGGGUUUAGGGAUUUUAUAAGGUGAGGCUCUAAUUUGGACAUGAGGUUCACCGUGAUCAACAGUUAAACUCCUAAGAGGUGGAUGCUCAGAUUCUAUAAUUCUAUCACCAUCAGAAAGUUUCCACUCAGGAAUUUUCUUCCUAAUAGUAAUAGGGUUUGACUCUUUAAAAGGAUAAGAGAUGUUGUUAUUCGAAGAAUAUAUCUCAAACCAAUCAAAAAACAAUAUAUGAAUUUUAUGUGAGUUUACAAAUUCAUAAUAUGUCUCUUGAAUCUCUUUUCUUUGAUUUAGAAAAUGUUUAAAAAACCAAAGUCUUUUUUCUUUAUUAUUAUCCGAAUAAAAAUCAUUAUGGAGAAGAGUAUAUAUAGAUAUAUAUAGAUUUUUAAUAUUUUGUAAUGUAAUUAUUUUUUAAUCUCAACCAAUAUAUUAGAUAAUAGAGAAUAUAAAAAGAUGAGAAAUAAUGAUGCCACAAAUCUUAAAUGUUUAAUGUUUAUGGAGUUUGAAGAAGCCAAAAUGCACUAAACAAAAUAUUGAAUAAUUAAAUAUGGGAUUAUGACAUUAAAAUUAGGCUCUAAUAGUAUUGUUGAGGGAAGAUGAAAGAACCUUCCUUCAUAUAUUAACAUUAAUUAAUUGAUGUAUUUUAAGCCACUAAAAUUUAAUUGUUGGCAUAAUAAAAUAAAUGAAUGUUUCAAGACUUAUAAUUAAUUAUUAUUAAUGGUUACAUAUUGUUGAAUUUAAAUAGAAAUAGGAAAAGACAUGUAAUCAUUUAUAAUCUAAUAAUAAUUUUCUAUUUUAAUAUUUUGUAAUGUAAUUAUUUUUUAAUUUCAACCAAUAUGAGAUGAUGAGAAAUAGUGAUGCCACAUCAUCUCCUCUAGUCCCAACUUUAUAUAUAUACUAGAAAAUAGAACCGCGCUUUACGCGGCUUUAAAAAAAGAAUUUAGUAUUAUCUUUUUUUCUUACUUUACACUUGUGAAACUGAUAAAAAAUAUGAAUUAUUUUUUUUUAGAUGAGGCAGCCUUAUAAAAAACAAAAAAAAAAAUUAGCCAGCAAUACAAAUAAAGAACCAACGCAGGAUAAAGAAUAAAAUGAGAGAAUAUAUUAUAGAGUGAUUUUAUUCAUUCCAAUUGUGUGUAUACAAGACAAAAAGAUGAGCUCUCCUUUUAUAGUUAUAUAAUCACUCCAUGAAAUUAAUGCAAAAUUAUGGAUCAUAAUUCCUUGUGAGAUAUUGGGAGUUAUAGGGAAGCUAAAUGUUGCUAAUGGGAGAUAGUGAGGAAAUUAAGAGAUAUAUGUUAUGAACAUCUACAUUUAUUUUAAUAAAUUCAUAACACUUUUCCUUGAAUGUUCAUUACAAAGAUUAUGCCUCAUUAAAAUCUUUAUAUAAUUGUUAUUGUGUAAUAACAAUCAAAUUAAUUAUGAGAAGAUGAAAAGCCAAAUCUAAAAGAAAAUUUAUCUAUUUAUUAGAUAAUAGAAAAUAUACAAAGAUGAGAAAUAGUGAUGCCACAUCACCUCCUCAAAGCCCAACUUUAUAUAUAUAUAUAGAUAGAUAUAGAUUUUUAAUAUUUUGUAAUGUAAUUAUUUUUUAAUCUCAACCAAUAUAUUAGAUAAUAGAGAAUAUAAAAAGAUGAGAAAUAAUGAUGCCAUAAAUCUUAAAUAUUUAAUGUUUAUGGAGUUUGAAGAAGCCAAAAUGCACUAAACAAAAGAUUGAAUAAUUAAAUAUGAGAUUAUGACAUUAAAAUUAGGCUCUAAUGGUAUUGUUGAGGGAAGAUGAAGGAACUUUCCUUCAUAUAUUAAUAUUAAUUAAUUGAUGUAUUUUAAGCCACUAAAAUUUAAUUGUUGGCAUAAUAAAAUAAAUGAAUGUUUCAAGACUUAUAAUUAAUUAUUAUUAAUGGUUACAUAUUGUUGAAUUUAAAUAGAAAUAGGAAAAGACAUGUAAUCAUUUAUAAUCUAAUAAUAAUUUUCUAUUUUAAUAUUUUGUAAUGUAAUUAUUUUUUAAUUUCAACCAAUUUAUUAGAUAAUAGAGAAUAUGAGAUGAUGAGAAAUGGUGAUGCCACAUCACCUUCUCAAGUCCCAACUUUAUAUAUAUACUAGGAAAUAGAACUGCACUUUGUGCGGCCUUAAAAAAAAAAUUAGUAUUAUCUUUUUUUAUUACUUUGCACUUAAUGAAACUGAUAAAAAAUAUGAAUUAUUUUUUUUAAAGAUGACGUAGCCUUAUAAAACUAAUGUUAUUUAUGAAAGUUAAUUAUUUUUUUGUUAACAUUAAAAAUAUAUAUUAAUGUGUAUAGUUAAGUGUACACAACCUUUUCAUCAAUAAAAAUUAUGUUCACACUAAUCAACUCUCUAUUUUUCUUGAUAUUAAUAAGUGAUGGAUAGACCUGCACCUGUAGAAAAAACUCUUAGAGAGUUAGCUGAACCAGACUUGAAUCAACAACCACUCUGCAUUCAAUAUGUAGACUUGGAGGUAAAUUUUGAAUUAAAGUCUGGUCUUAUUCAUUUAUUACCCAAGUUUCAUGGUUUUGCAGGUGAAGAUCCUCAUAAACAUCUUAAGGAGUUUCAUGUUGUGUGUUCAAGUAAGAGACCACAAGGCGUGACUGAAGAACAGAUUAAGCUGCGUGCUUUUCCGUUCUCUGUAGAUGGGCUAGCUAAAGACUGGUUGUAUUACUUGCCUCCUGGAUCGAUUACAACGUGGAAUGAUUUGAAGAAGCAGUUCCUCGAGAAGUACUUUCCUGCUUCAAAAGCUGCCAACAUCAGAAAGGAUAUUUAUGGGAUCAAACAACUUCCUAGGGAGACUUUGUAUGAGUAUUGGGAGCGAUUCAAACAAUUGUGUGCCAGCUGUCCUCAGCAUCAGAUUUCUGAUCAACUUCUUAUUCAAUAUUUUUACGAAGGACUGUCAUUAAUGGAUAGGAGUAUGAUAGAUGCUGCUAGUGGAGGCGUGUUGGUGAACAAGACCCCUACUCAAGUAAGGGAGUUGAUAUCAAAUAUGGCUGCCAACGCACAACAAUUUGGCAGCAGGCAAGAUCUCACUUCAAGAACGGUGAAUGAGGUAAAUAUUUCUUUUGUUGAACAAUGUUUAGAUAAACUUACUUCUCUUGUGGAAAAGUUUGUUGUAGGUAAUGUGCAACAGGUGAAGACUUGUUGCAUUUAUUACAAUAUGAGUCAUUCAACCGAUAUGUGUCCUACACUUCAAGAAGAACCCGUUGAACAAGCCAAUGCAGUUGGAGGAUUUCCAGGCAUGCCUCAGAGGAGGUAUGAUCCUUAUGCACAAACAUACAAUCCGGGAUGCAAGGAUCAUCCCAACUUCAGCUAUGGAGUUAGGCCGUCAGGAUUCCCACAGCAGUAUCCACCAAGACAACUAGCACCUCCACAGUCAACCUCCAAGUCAGGUAUAUCUCUUGAAGAAAUUGUUAAAUCACUUGCGACUAACGCUCAACAAUUUCAGCAGGCAACUACAACAAGCAUUCAGAAUUUGGAGAGCCAAGUGAGUCAAUUGGCAACUACGAUGAGCCAUCUAGAGUCUCAAGUAUCUGGGAGAUUGCCUUCACAAUCUGAGGUGAAUCCCAAGCAAAACGCUAGUGCCGUCAUCCUUAGAAGUGGGAAGGAGUUACAAGAGCCUAGUAAGAAAGUGAUAGAGCAUGUAGAAGAUGAGCUUGAAAAGAAUGAAUUGAUGCCUAAAUCUCAGGAUGUGUAACCCACCAGAGCGAAACCCCUACCUAUUGUGAUACCUCCUCCUUUUCCAAGCCGGUUUGCAAAAUCCAAUAGGAGGAACAAGAGAAAGACAUCCUUGAGACAUUUCGCAAGGUUGAGGUAAAUAUUCCCUUAUUAGAUGCUAUAAAACAAAUACCUCGAUAUGCUAAAUUUCUUAAGGAACUGUGUACCUCCAAGAGAAAAUUAAGAGGAGAUGAAAAAGUUCACAUGGGGGAGAAUGUUUCAGCAGUUCUCUAAAAGAAACUACCUCCUAAGUGCAAGGAUCUAGGUAUGUUUACUAUCCCUUGCAAAAUUGGUAGUGUUAGAGUUGAGAAGGCUAUGUUAGAUCUAGGAGCUUCUAUUAAUGUCAUGCCUCGUUCUAUUUAUUCGUCUUUAAAUAUUGGUGCAUUAAAAGAAACUGGCGUGAUAAUUCAACUAGCUGAUAGGUCUAAUGUAUAUCCUGAUGGGGUAUUAGAAGAUGUCUUAGUACAAGUUAAUGAGUUGGUUUUUCCUGCUGAUUUUUAUGUACUUGAUAUGGAAGAUUAUAAUUCCUCUAAUUCUAUCCCAAUUUUGCUAGGAAGACCUUUUCUUAAGACUGCUAGAACUAAAAUGGAUGUACAUAAAGGUACUCUUACUAUGGAGUUUGAUGGAGAGGUUAUAGAGUUCAAUAUGUAUGAUGCCAUGAAAUAUCCCAGUGAGGAACAUUCAGUAUUUUCUAUGGAUGUUAUGAACCCUAUAGUGCAAGAAGUUUUUUAUUUGGAUGUUGAAGAUUCAUUGGUAGCUGCUUUAAAUAACAGUUUGGGCCUCAAAGGAUUGCAAAAGGAUGAAAAUGAGUUUGUUUUAAAUUCUGUAUUGCAAGAGAUAAUUUAUGAAUUAAAUUCUUUGAGAACUUUAACUCAUCAUAUGUCUAAUAAUGAAUUACCUUCAUCUCAUGCAAAACUUCUUCCAUCUAUUUUGCAGGCACCAAAAAUAGAGCUUAAACCAUUGCCUAGUCAUCUAAAGUACAUGUUUUUAGGAGAUGAUGAGACACUUCCGGUGAUCAUCUCUUCAAAGCUUAGUACUUUGGAGGAAGAGAAACUUAUUAGAGUGCUAAGGGAUUACAAAAAGGCUAUUGGGUGGACAAUUGCAGAUAUUAAAGGGAUAAGUACGUCCACGUGCAUGCAUAGAAUACUGCUGGAGGAAGAUGCCAAACCUUCAAUUCAAGCUCAACGCUGUUUGAAUCCACUCAUGAUGGAAGUAGUGAAGAAAGAAAUUCUAAAACUUGUUGAUGCAGGUAUAAUCUAUCCAAUUGCGGAUAGCAAAUGGGUAAGUCCGGUACAAGUGAUACCGAAGAAAACUGGUAUAACAAUUGUUGAGAAUUCUUAUGGUGAGUUAGUACCUACCCGAGUUCAGAAUGGGUGGAGGGUUUGUAUUGAUUUUAGAAAGCUUAAUUCACUCACUAGGAAGGAUCAUUUUCCUAUUCCUUUUAUUGAUCAUAUGCUCGAAAGGUUGGCGGGAAAAUCUCACUUUUGUUGUCUUGAUGGCUAUUCAGGUUUUCAUCAGAUACCAGUUGUGCCUGAGGAUCAGGAGAAGACUUCCUUCACAUGUCCUUUUGGAACCUUUGUGUACCGACGUAUGCCAUUUGGUCUUUGUAACGCUCCCGCCACUUUUCAGAGGUGCAUGGUCAGUAUUUUUUUAGACUAUGUAGAAAACACUAUAGAGGUAUUUAUGGACGAUUUUACGGUCUAUGCUGAUUCUUUCGAUGAUUGUCUCUAUAAUCUGAAGAAAGUGCUUGAAAGAUGCAUUGAAACAAACUUUGUCUUGAAUUAUGAAAAAUGUCAUUUUAUGGUAGAUCAAGACAUUAUUUUGGGUCAUGUAGUCUCUGCUAGAGGAAUUGAGGUAGAUAAAGCUAAAAUAGAUGUUAUUAAAUCGUUACCUUAUCCCACAUGUGUGCGGGAAGUUCGUUCUUUUCUUGGUCAUGCAGGUUUCUAUAGACGAUUUAUCAAGGAUUUUUCGAAGAUAGCUCAGCCUUUAUGCAAGCUUCUUCAGAAAGAUGUGACGUUUGAUUUUAAUGAAGCAUGCAAGGUAACAUUUGAUAAACUUAAGGAGUUAUUGACUUCAGCUUAUAUUAUACAGCCACCAGACUGGAGCCUCCCUUUUGAGAUAAUGUGCGACGCCAGUAAUUAUGCUGUUGGUGCUGUUCUCGGACAAAGGGUUGGAAGAGUUGCUCAUGUGAUAUAUUACGCAUCAAGAACACUUGAUAGUGCUCAGUGCAAUUACUCAACAACGGAAAAAGAACUUUUAGCUAUUGUUUUUGCUUUAGAAAAAUUCCGUUCAUAUUUAUUGGGUACUAAAGUGGUUGUUUUUUCUGAUCAUGCAGCUCUCAGAUAUUUGCUAGCCAAGAAGGAAGCGAAAUCGAGACUUAUCCGCUGGAUCCUACUGCUUCAAGAAUUCAACUUGGAGAUCAGUGACAAGAAAGGAACAGAAAACUUAGUUGCAGACCACCUUAGUAGAUUGACCACGAGUGAAGAAGCAGCACCUUUGAAAGAUGAUUUUCCAGAUGAGCAUCUCUUUGUAACUUAAGGUAUGGUUCCUUGGUACGCUGACAUUGUCAAUUACUUAGUUACAAGAACACUACCUAGUGAUUUGACGGGGGCUCAAAAAGGUAAAAUUAAGAGCGAUGCUAAAUACUAUGUUUGGGAUGACCCUUGCUUGUGGAAACAUUGCUCUGACCAAGUCAUCAGAAGGUGCGUAUCUGAGUUUGAAAUUCCUUCUAUUCUUCAGUUUUGUCACUCAUAUGCAUGUGGUGGUCAUUUUGGUCCCAAAAAGACAGCAUCCAAGGUGUUAGAAUGUGGUUUAUUUUGGCCUACUUUAUUUCGUGAUUCAUACAUGUUUUGUAAGUUGUGUGAAAAUUGUCAAAACACUGGUAAUUUAAGUCAUAGAAAUCAAAUGCCACUUACCCCUAUUCUUGUAUGUGAAAUAUUCGAUGUGUGGGGCAUUGAUUUUAUGGGACCUUUUCCCUCAUCUUUUGGCAAUGCUUACAUUCUUUUAGCAGUGGAUUACGUUUCUAAGUAGGUAGAGGCUAAGGCCACCCGGACUGACAAUGCUAAAGUUGUUGUAGAUUUUGUCAAGUCCAAUAUUUUUGCUAGGUUUGGUGUACCGAGAGCGAUGAUAAGUGAUAGAGGCACUCAUUUCUGUAAUCGAGUGGUGGAAGCUUUGUUCAAAAGAUAUCAUGUUACCCACCGAGUGUCUACCGCCUAUCAUCCACAGACAAGUGGACAAGCUGAGAUAUCAAACAGAGAAAUCAAGUCUAUUCUUGAAAAGACAGUUAGUCCAAAUCGAAAGGAUUAGAGUUUGCGAUUAGAUGAUGCAUUAUGGGCGUAUCGCACCGCUUACAAAACUCCCAUAGGUAUGUCUCCUUAUCGUUUAGUAUUUGGUAAGCCUUGUCAUUUACCUGUAGAACUUGAGCACAGAGCAUACUGGGCGGUUAAGCAAUGCAAUAUGCGGAUGGACGAAGCGGGAAAGCAGAGGAAGUUGCAGCUGCAAGAGUUGGAGGAGAUUAGAAAUGAAUCCUACGAGAGUUCGCGAUUUUACAAGGAAAAGAUGAAGACAUUUCAUGACAAAAUGAUUUUGAGAAAGGAGUUCUCUGUUAGUCAAAAAGUUCUUCUUUUUCAUUCUAAGCUUAAACUUUUUCUGGGUAAAUUACAUUCUUGCUGGGUUGGACCUUUUAUUGUUACUAAUGUUUUUCCUCAUGGUGCAGUUGAGAUUCGGAGUCCGACCUUUGACAAAGUUUUUAAGGUUAAUGGUCAUCGCUUAAAACCUUUUUAUGAAGGUUUUUCAGUGAAUAUUGUGGAGGAUGUGGCUCUCGAGAGUCCAAAUUAUGGAGAUUGAUGCAUAAAUGUGUCUAGCCAAAGACAUAAAACAAAGGCGCUUUUUGGGAGGCAACCCAAAUGAUUUGUUUAUUUUGGUUUUUGUUUUAUCUUCUUUUAGUUUUGAUUCAGAUUUAAAAAAAAAAUUAAUGUGUUUGCUUAUUUUGGUCAGAAGAAAAUUUUUGAUAAAGCGUGCCCACGUUUUAACUAAUAAGUAGUUCUGUAAUUUUUAAAGUAAAAUAGUUUUAAGGCGUGCCCACGUGCUUAUUAAAAAGGUACUUCUGUAAUUUUUAAAGUAAAAUAGUUUUAAGGCGUGCCCACGUGCUUAUUAAAAAAGUACUUCUGAAAUUUUUGGUGUCUCAAAGUGAUUCACCACUAAAAAAAAAAAAAAUUAUUUUAUUUUAUUUUAUUUUAUUUAUUUAUAAAAAAAAAAAAGAUUUUCUUUUGUUCUUUCUUUUAUAUAUAUAUUUAUUUAUUUAUUAAAAAAAAUCAAAAAAAUCACUGUUAAAAAAAAAAAUUUACUGUUCACAAAAUCCCUAAUUUUCCAGAACUUGUUUUCUUCUCCAGCCGCUUGCAGCACACCAGCAGCAAACCAGCCUGCCGGAAAAUGCACCACCCUGCUCGCGCAACACCAGUAUCGAGCACCAUCCCGCGCGCGCAGCACUACCAUUUCGUGUCUCGCAGCCCAACAGCGAGCAACGAAGCCCCAUCAGCGCGCAACGGAUCCACAAUGCAACCCAGCAGUGCGCAACACAUCCCACGCAGCAGCGCGCAACACAUCCCACGCAGCAGCGCGAACCAGCUCUCACGCGCAACACACCCACGCAGCAGCAGUUGCGCGCAACACAAUGCAGCACCAGCAUCCCGCGUCCAGCGAGCAGCAGCCGCAGCCAUGCAGACAGCAGCCAGCACGCAACCAGCAGUGCGUAACCAGCCCCAAGCCGAGCAGCAACGCAACGCAACCAGCCUACGCCCUGUAUUCCAGCCGGGUAAAUCGAAAUCCGUGAGUGUAAUUAUUGUAACAAUGUCAAAGAGGAAAGCAUCUACUUCCAAGUCAUCGAAAAAGACACUCGUCGCAAAGAAAUCCAAGAUUGCCGCUCCCACUACGGUUCCAUGGAACACAAUUUCAGAUUCACGCCAACAUUACUCUAUUAGCUGUAAACCUAUGUGUGCUUGAUCCUGACAAUAAUGAUUUGCAUCCUGCUUGCAAAAAGAAAUUUUUGGAUAUGUCUGUGUUUGAAAGAACAGGAGUGGUCGAAUUCAAGGAAGGGAGAUUUCAGUUUACUGAACCAGGACCCACUCAACCUUCGAAGAAGCCUUAUGCUAGGAGUGGUGCUACCUCUGAUGACGAGUUUGACGACGACACUGCUGCCCCGCCAACUAUUCCUUCUACAUCCGCACCACCUUUGAGCAUUCAGUUAGAGAAAAUGGAGCACAAGCUGAACAAGAUGGAGCAGAAUUUGGCCGCAUACUUCGAGAGUGUGGGAUUUACCCCACCAUUUCCGCCAAGCCCAUAGACGUUAUGUGGAUCAAAGCUCACAAUUUAGGGAAGUUUCUGUUUGCCUUUAAUCUUUUAUCCUUACGUUUUAAUUUUUAUGUGAGCUUUGAUUAUCUUACAUUAGGGACAAUGUAAGUUCUUGGUGUGGGGGAGGGAUUUUUGCAUUAUUGAUGCCUGGAAUUAUUAUUUUUACUCUACUCAUCCUUAAAUGAUUUUUGAGUUAGUAUGCUUCAUAUAUUAUUAAUUUUCUUUUCCUUUCUCUCUCACUACUCUUUUCCCAUCUAUCUCAAAUUAUUUACAUCUAUUUUUUUUUCUAUCAUAUUCUUUCAUCACUCACAUUUUAUCUUUCAAUUUUUUUUACUACAUACAUCUUUCUCGCUUAUUAUCUUUUUUACCUUUCCUUUUAUAUCUCACUCAUACUUUCUUCUCAUUCUACACCACUAUUGAUGGUUAAUUCAUUUGAAGAGUGUACAUGAUUUGAUGGCAAAUUUACCAACUUUGUGAGGAUUUGAGCCUAUGAGCAACCACUUUGCUCUAAUUAUUUUUGUUAUGUGAAUAUCAAUCCUAGUUUGUUUAUUCUAGAACUUGCUUUGUUAUGCAUGUUGAAGCCACAUUACGGGAUUUUAUGCAUUAAAAUGAUAAAGGCAAACCAUUUACCAUUUUUCUAUUCUCACAUUUUCUUUUUUCUCUACCCGAAGAUCUUUAUUUGCUACCUUUGUUUGAGCCUUAACAAUUACCCAUCUAAUUCUCUCCGUCUACUUAACCAUUUUUUUUCUUUUUUUAGCCUCAAUUUAAGGAGAUUUUUGGACUCAUUGUGUGGAUAUAUUUUGUUGCUUUUUCUACCUUGUAAUAAAGUUUCUCAAUUAGAUCAACAAGUAUUAUGCUUGAAUUAAAUUGUGCAAGGUUCGUUUCUUUUGUUUGAUUCAAAAACAAAAAACCAAAAAAAAAAAAAAACAAAACAAAAACAAAAAAAAAGAAAAAGAAAAAUCGAAAAAAAAGAGAAGAAAAAAAAUGUUUACAUUCUUGGUGACUUGAGUAGAAAUAAGCAUUUUGAUAUCAUAAGUUCAUUCAAUGAGUUCAUUCUUCUCAUUUUGAUCUCUUUUUCUUUCGUAAACCUUUCUUUUUCAUUCAACCUAUUUAACCCCAUUACAACCCUUUUAAGACCCUUAGAUUUUUGCAUUUUAUUCAUGUUUUGUGGAUUGAGAUGUGAUAUAUGAGCAAGCUUAUGGUAAUAGCAUUCUUUGAUUUGAUUUGAGUGAAUAAAUGACACCCUAAACACUUUGAGUGCAUGGAGUGAAGUUAUUGAGAGGGCUAUUAAAUCUUGUUGCACUUGAAUUUUGAAUGGAUCUUCUUGGUGGUUGAAUAUUCUUAUUCUAUCUUAUGAAAUUCUAUGCUUUAAAAUCCUUGUUUCUCGAAUGUUGAUCGACUUAAUUUCUUGAGGUAUGCUUGCUUAAAAUUAUUUUUGGAUGAGUUGAGAUGAAAAUUGAGUGGAGAUUUGGGAUUAGUCUUGAGUUAUAUGCUUGAGGACAAGCAUCAUCUUGGUGUGGGGGAAUUUGUUAGAGUGCAAAUAAAUUAGAUUUUUCUUUAAAGCUGGAACAAAUCUAACCUCUUUGAGUUCUCUGACCAAUCCAUCUAAUAUUUUGAGCCGAAUUGUUCCUAUCCCCAUUGUGCGACAAUGUUGAUCAUUCCCCAUCAUAACUGCACCAGAUUCCAAUUCAUUGAAAUCCGUAAACCAUUCCUUAAUGGGACAUAAAUGAUAGGUUGCGCCAGUUUCAAGUAUCCACUCGCUUGAACUAGCCACAUAUGCUGCAAGAGUAAUAUUACUUAGUGAAUAAUCAGAGUCUUCAUCUUUUCGUGCCAUGUUUGUUGUUGCUGGUUUCUUCUCAUCUCUAUUUUGAGCAUUUGGACAAUCUUUCCUCCAAUGACCCUUUUCAUGACAAAAGGCACACUCGUCUCGAGCUAUAUUUCUGCUUCUCAAUUUGGAUCGAGAAUUCUUUCCACCACGCUUUUUCUUUUUCUCCAUCGUCCAAUCUCUACUCACCAAAGCUUCAGACGAUGCUCGUUCAGAAUUUUUAUCAUUAUUCCGAAUCUCCAAGCCAGUCAAUGCUGUGCAAACAUCUUUGAAGACGAUCACACUCUUCCCAUAUAUCAAAGUAGUCACAAAAUGGCUAUAUUCCUCUGGUAGUGAGUGUAAUAGAAUCAUAGCCUUGACUUCAUCCUUAAUAUCUUCAUCAAGAUUCUUCAAAUCAGCAAGUAACUUUUCAAAUCUUGAGACAUGAUCGUGCAUUGACACUUCAGGCUUCAUUCGAAAGCUAUAUACUUGGCUCAUUGCAUGAAGGCGAUUUUCAGGACUUUUUACCAAGUACUUCUCCUCCAAUGUACGCCACAAAGUCAUCGCACACUCCUCAUCUUUCACCAAGUAUUUCACCUCUUUGGUCAAACAAGAUUUGAUCUGACCACAAGCUUUCUCGUUCAUACGAUCCCAAAUUUCUUCAUUAUACAAGUGUCUUUUAUUUUUCAGAACAAUAUCAAGAUCGAUUUGAAUAAGGGCAUCCAUAACUUCGGGCCUCCACAUGCCGAAGUUGAUUUUCCCAUCAAACUUUUCAACAUUGAUUUUCUGGCCUCCUAUAACAGGUGCUGAAUAGCGAUUUGACAAAUCUCGCCUCCCACCUGAAGUGCCGCUUGAAAUAGUCUCGGUAGAUCUCUCCCCAAUUCUGGAAGUUUCACCUUCUACUAUUUUCUCAACGAACUAUUUCCACUUGAAAAACAGUCUCUAUGAUGUUAAUUUCGCGUGAAUAAAUGCACCAGGAAAGUUUCCAGGAGACUGGACGGGAACUCGGUCCUAAUUAAAAACCAGAAUCCUUAAACUCUUAUUACCUUUGUUGACAGAACUUUCCUAGACAUGCAAAAAUACAUACUACUUACAAUAGACCGUCUCCCAAGUACAAAUGGACGUCUCCACCGUAUUCGUGAACAGUACCGUAUACGUGAACAAUACCUUAUCCCCCCAAGUAUGAACCGUUAGCUCUGAUACCACUUGUUGUGCGCAGAAUGCAGAAUCAAGUGCACCAAAUAAUUAUAGAAAAAUAAAGGACACAAGAAUUACGUGGUUCGGUAAUUAAACCUACAUCCAUGGAGGCAAGAAAGAAUAAUUGUUUAUUUAACAAUUAAUAGAGUACAAAUAUUUGAGUAACGAAUCUCACUUCCCAGAAACCCAAAUAUACCCAGUACUCUCACACUCUGUAGGAAAGAUAAAUUCCCCAGACACACUUCUCUCACUUCUCUCAAAAGUUUAGAAACUUAUAAGCUUAAUAAUUUUGGGAUACUUAGAAUGGAAGAAGUGCCAUCUGUUUAUAGGGAAGACAAUGGCACUAUUGCACCAACCCCUCUACUAUUCCACCUAACCUAAGCAAAUUGUCAAUGGUGUCCAUUUGGCAAAUUUGACAAAUUUGCCAACUUUUCAUUUUUUCUUCAAUUGUUUGGUAGCUCUUUGAAAAUUUGCAUGCUUUCUUGAAUUUGGAUGCCACAUGCAUGACUUUUCAACACUUGUAAUUUUUAAAAGAUACUGAAAAGGAUUGUUGUUACAUUUGUCGGUGUUGGAUAUGAGUAGAUAAAAAGAAAAUGGUCAUGUACUUAAGUAGAUGUUAACACAAAUCUGUACAAUAGAGGCACUUUGGGACAUGUUUGAAAAUACGGUAACUAUAUAAUUGAGUCAUUGGCUGAAACUAUCCCCAAUCAUUUAUAUAUGUGUUUAUACAAGCUGAUGGCAAUGUAACUGAGGACAAUAAAUCUUUUACUAAAACUAUCAGAUGUGUUCGAGAAGUUCAAAGAUGAUGAAGGUAAAUUCAGGGCAUCAUUGGUGAAGGAUGUUCAGGGCAUUCUAAGUUUGUAUGAGGCGGGACACUUGGCCAUUCGCGGAGAAGAUAUAUUAGAUGAAGCCAUUGCUUUCACUAGAACUCACCUUCAAUCAAUGGUAUCUCAUGAUGUACGCCCUAAUAAUCUUGCUGAACAAAUUAAUCAUGCUCUCGACUGUCCUCUCCGCAGAGCCCUCCCAAGAGUGGAGACAAGAUUUUUCUUGUCUGUCUAUCCUAGAGAUGAUAAACACGAUAAAACUUUGUUAAAGAAUACAUCAGAAGGAAUUAAGUGCCAUCGCACGGUAAGCUCUUAACCCGUGCAUGUGUUAUUUUUACUUUAAAAGAAAAAAAAACAGAUACAUUGAUUUGCUCUGUUAAUUUUUUUUUUUGAGGAAAAUAAGGAAUUCAUUAAACAGCUAAAGUUUCAACUAACAAGGGGUGGAACAAACCUCCACUCACCCGAAUCUGACAUAGAACUCCCCACCUGAGCCACAGUGCGGGCAGCGGAGUUCGCAGAUCUACGAACAAAAAGAGAAAGCUACUUCUCCUAGAGAGCGAGCCAAGGCUCUACAAUUAUCAAUAAUUGAACCAAAACCAUUAGGAUAACUAGUCUUAUCAUGUAAGGCAUUGAAAAUUUGUAAACUAUCCAUCUCCAGAAUUACAGAAUGGAAAGCAAACUUCUUAAGCCAGCUAAGGGCUUCCCUAACUCCGAUCGCUUCAGCCUCUCUAGCUUCAAAACUUCCCAGAAAAAAGUCGCUUUUUGCCGCAAUGAAGUCACCAAACUUGCCAAAAGACAAGACAAAACCAAACUUGCCAAAAGACAAGACACUACCCUUUAAACCAAUGCUCUUUAUGACUUCAACGACAACUCGUCCCCUGCCCCAAACUUCCCAGAAAAAAGUCGCUUUUUGCCGCAAUGAAGUCACCAAACUUGCCAAAAGACAAGACAAAACCAAACUUGCCAAAAGACAAGACACUACCCUUUAAACCAAUGCUCUUUAUGACUUCAACGACAACUCGUCCCCUGCCCCAGCGAGAAACAAAAACUUUCUCACAGUCAAUUUUACAAACACUUUCCGUGCAAGCCCAUCAAAACUAACCCCAGGACACUCAGUCACACGUAGCUCGAGCCUUAGAGAUCGGAGAUGCGACGACGAGAAGCAGCAGCCAGCAGUCACCGAUGCAACAACGCGAAGUCAAGCCAUUGACGCUGCCGCGACGCACCGACGAGAUCUGCUACCGCCUGCUACUUGUGACAACGGCGAACCCGACCUUGCGACGGUGGCGAACCCAGUCGAGAGUUGUUUGACUUGCUUACGGGACAGCGGAAGGCGGAAGGCGGCAGCGGCAGCACAGCUAGGGUUUUUGGAGACACGAAGAUAAAUAUAUACCCAUCACAUAAAUAAUUAAUAAGGACAAAAAAAAUUUGCUCUGUUAAUUAAGAAAAAGAUUUUGAAAAAUAUACAAAUCACUUUCCUGUUCAUUUAAAGUUCUAGGACAAUAUAUUGUCAUUGUCUUUGUUCUUGUUCAAUUAUUGUGGGAAAUUGUUACUUCCUUCUAUAAUUCUUAGUUUUACUACUUACAUCCUUACGGUUUUCAUAUGUAACAGUGCUUUACGGCUUUACCUGUUUGACGUAAAUUAUUCUUUUGGGGCUUUGCCCUCCCAUUAUCUUUUAAGAGUAAAAUAUGAAAAGAAAGAAAAAUAUAUAUUUUAACAGAGAUAAAUAUAACAGCAAGAACAUUUUGAGUAAAUUUUAAAAUUAUAAGGACCAACCAGACAUUUAGGCGAACAUAAGGACAAUAAGGACAUUUACCCAAAUGAUUUUCUAAACAUUUAACAAAGGGAACAAGUAUUGAUCAUCUCCUAACCUCUACUAAUUUAUUGAGUGAUCAAUAUUGAGUUUUGAAUUUUUAUAUUGAUAAUCAAGCCAGCUUUUUUCACUUUAUUUAUAAGUAAAUCAACUUUUUUCACUGAAUUUAGAAAGCUUAGAGUAGUUAGGAGGGGGAAAAAACUAGUAGAGAAUGCUAAUAAUAAAAGUGGGCAAUUUAGUUUCUCAUUCACUUUUCACUAACUUUAAUAAUCUUACAAAAUUUCACACGAAGGCCAAAAAUUCUCUUCUCUUAUUUAUGAUAUCGAUCAUACAUGUAUAAGUCUAGUGAACAAUAAAACCGAGUUUUUGUUUCUCCUUUUUUUUUAUCUUUUAAAUUGCACAAUGCGAGUGAAUUUAUUAAUUAGUUUUAGCUACCAAUUAAAUAAUUUUAAUAUAAAAUAUUUGAAUUUCAGGUGGUGGAAAGAUUUAGACUUCUCUACAAAGCUGCCUUACGCAAGAGACAGAAUCGUGGAGUUAUAUUUUUGGAUUGUAGGGACGUAUUUUGAACCAAAAUACACCUUAGCCAAAUGACCAAAUUAAUUUACAUGACAUCUAUCAUUGAUGACACUUUCGACGCCUAUGGUAUCUUUGAAGAGCUUAAACUCUUUACAGAAGCAGUCCAGAGGUUUAAAAUAUUUUGUAAUCUAUAUAAAUAUAACAAAUGAUUAUCAUUAUUAUUAUAAUUUUAAAUUUUCUUUCGCACGAUAUAUUACUUCGUAUUCAGAUGAGACAUUGGAGCCAUGGAUAAACUUCCAGAAUACAUGAAAAUACUUUAUAAGGCCCUUUUAGAUACUUACAAUGAAAUUGAGCAAGUCUUGGCCAAGGAAGGAAGAUCGUCUUACUUACGUUAUGACAAGGAAAAGGUAGGCAAUUAAGGGGUAAAUCCUCAAUUAGUCUACGUAUUUUAAAAAGGAUAAAUGCUCAAAUAGUCCCUACAUUUUCCGUUAAGUAUUCAUUUAGUUUUUAUAUUUUGAAAAAUGUCUAAAGAUACUUUUGUUAUUGAAUAUUGACACUCAUAUAUAUGCUUAUUUUUUCUUAACUUUUAUAAUAAUAAAUGUACUACCCUGUUGGAGACAUCGCUUAAUUAAUCUAUGGAAUAAGUUAAUUAACAAAUUAAUCGAUUACUGUUUAUUAGUGAAUUAACCAAUAAUUAUUAUUGUCUUUUAUAAUAAUUGUUAGACCGAUAGUGUUGAUUAUUUCAUUGAAUUGGUUCAUUUUGAUGUUUGGGAAUCGCCGGAUAUGUCCAUGGGAGGUGCAAAGUACAUGGUGACUUUCAUUUAUGAUUAUUUCAGAAGAUGUGGGGCGUAUCCAAUUAAUAAAAAGUCAAAUGUGUUUCCAGUGUUCAAACAGUUCAAAGCGCGGGUUGAACUUGAAUUCGAGAAAAAGAUCAAGUGCUUGAGGAUAGAUAAUGGUGAAGAGUAUACAGACGGUGAGUUUCUUACUUUCUGUAAGCAAAAAGGUAUUUAGAGGCAGUUCACGGUGGCAUACACUCCUCAAUAAAAUGGAGUGGUAGAGCAGAUGAACAGAACUCUUAUAGAAAGAAUAAGAGCUAUGUUGAAGACUGCGGGUCUAUCUAAUUCAUUAUGGGUAGAAGAAGUCAAAACUACCUGUUAUAUAGUAAAUCGGUCGCUUUCUACGACAAUUGGGUUGAAGACUCCGAUGGAGAUGUGGACUAGAAAGCUUGCAGAUUACUCUCACCUACAUGCAUUCGGAUGUCCUGUGUACGUUAUAUACAAUGCCCAAGAAAGAGCAAAAUUGGAUCCAAAAUCUAGAAGAUGUAUCUUCUUGGGAUAUGCUGAUGGAGUAAAGGGGUAUCGUUUGUGGGACCCCACUGCCCACAAAAUCAUCAUCAGCAGAGAUGUUAUCUUUGUAGAAUAUCAACUGCAAAGAAGAGAUAGUGAUAGUAGAACUGCAAAAGAAAAGUCAGAGAUUAUGCCGGUAUAUGUGAAAAAUAAUAUAGAAAAAAAAGAUUCAGAUUCUUUUGAAGCAGCACUAGAGCAUGAAGAACAAGAACCAGUCGAGUCCAAGGCUCCAGAAGUUUGUCGGUCAACUCAUGAGAGAUGACUGCCAUCGUGGCACUCGGAUUAUGUCACAGAGAUCAAUGUUGCAUACUGUCUUUUAAUAGAGGAUGGAGAGCCAUCAAUUUUUCAUGAAUCUUUAAAUAGCUCAGAUGUUGCUUUGUGGAUGGCAUCAAUGCAGGAAGAAAUUGAGGUUCUACUGCCUCUACACAAGAAUAAGACGUGGGAAUUUGUACCACUACCACAUGGAAGAAAAGCCAUUAGUAACAAAUGGGUCUAUAAGAUCAAGCGUGAUGGCAAUGACCAAGUGGAGCGGUAUCGUGCAAGAUUGGUGGUGAAAGGAUAUGCUCAGAAAGAAGGUAUUGACUUCAACGAAAUAUUUUCUCCGGUGGUUCUACUCACGACAGUCAGAAUAGUUUUAGCAAUGUGUGCUACAUUUGACCUACAUCUAGAGCAGUUAGAUGUGAAAAUUGCAUUUCUUCAUGGAGAACUUGAAGAAGAAAUUUAUAUGCUCCAACUAUAAGGUUUUGCUGAAAAGGGAAAGGAGAACUUGGUUUGCAGGUUGAACAAAUCUUUAUACGGUCUCAAACAGGCACCGAGGUGUUGGUAUAAGAGAUUUGAUUCCUUCAUUAUGAGCCUUGGAUACAAAAAACUCAAUUAAGACCAUUGUGCAUAUUACAAGAGGUUUGAAGAUAAUGAUUUCAUCAUUUUGCUGUUAUAUGUGGAUAACAUGUUGGUAGCAGGGCCCAACAAAGAUUGAGUCCAAGAAUUGAAGGCACAAUUGGCUAAGGAGUUUGGAAUGAAGGAAUUGGGACCAGUAAACAAGAUUCUAAGGAUGCAAAUUCACUGAGACAGAAAUAAUAAGAAGACUUGGCUUUCUUAGAAGAACUACUUGAAGAAAUUCUUGCGACGCUUCAACAUGCACGAUUGUAAGCCAAUUUCUGCCCCACUUCUUGUUAAUUUUAAAUUAUCCUCAAGUAUGUGUCCUAGCAAUGAAGAAGAGAGGAAUGAGAUGUUUUGAGUACCGUAUGCAUCAGUAGUGGGAAGUUUGAUGUUCGCUAUGAUAUGUACUAGACCAGACAUUGCACAAGUAGUGGGAGCGGUCAGUCGAUAUAUGGCAAAUCCUGGUGGAGAGCAUUGGAUAGCUAUGAAGAGGAUUCUGGGAUAUAUUAGAGGAACCUCAUAUGUUGCAUUAUAUUAUAGAGGAUCAGAGUUUACUGUCAGGGGAUAUGUGGAUUUAGAUUUUGCAGGAGACCUUGAUAAAAAGAAAUCCACUAAUGGCUAUAUGUUUACACUUGCGAGAGCAGCUGUAAGCUGGGUUUCAAAACUGCAGACCGUUGUGGCUCUAUCUACAACAAAGCAGAAUACAUGGCAGCUACACAAGCUUGCAAGGAAGCUAGUUGGAUACAAAUGUUAUUGGAGGAGCUUGGGCACAAACAAUAGAAAAUUCCUGUGUUUUGUCAGAGUGCCUUGCAUAUUGCAAUGAAUCUAGCAUUUCAUUCCAGGAAAAAGCACAUAGGGGUACAAUAUCACUUCGUUCGAGAUGUAGUGGAAGAUGGAAGUGUGGAUUUGCAGAAAAUUCAUACCAAGGAGAACCUAGCAUAUGUUUUGACCAAGCCGAUCAAUACAGACAAGUUUAUCUGGAGUAGAUCCUCUUGUGGCCUAGUAGAAACAUAAGCAACAUGACUAAGGCGAAGCAGAAAGGAUGGUGUGGAGAUUGAUUAGUCCCCAAUUUAAUCUCCAAGUGGGAGAAUGUCAAAUGAGGUGGGCUGCUCUUUCUAAAAGAGCAAGAAUUCCACAUCCCUUUUUGACAUUACAAGCACCAAAUUCGGUGCUUAGCUGGUGGAGGAAAAUUUGCUAAAAUUUGGUCAUGAUUGCUAGCUGUGUUGUUUGAAUUUUUUAUGCAAUUGCUGACUUUUUUGGCCAUGAUAUUUCCUAUAAAUAGAAGUGUUGAGGGAGAGCUCAUUCAUUCCAUUGAGAGAGAGCGAUUUAGCAUUUUAGAGAGAGAGUUAAGAGAGCUUGAAAUUAUAAGCUCUUGUCAUAGUGAUUUCAGAGUUUGGGUGUAUUGAGAUUUUGGGUAGUGAGCUAAAAUACUACAAUAUUUGUAAUUCCUUUUGACUAGUAAAAUAUGUUUCUUCUGUCUUCGUCCGAGGACGUAAGCUAAAAGCCGAACCACGUAAUUUUCUAGUGUCCUCUUUUGUGAUUGUUCUUUAUUUUCUUCUAAUUUUAUUUUAGCUGUGACCCUACUUCACCCAUCAAUUUCCUAACAGGUUUUACGUGGAAAACUCCUAUACUGGAGAAAAACCACGGCCGCCAAGGACGAUGAGAGAAAAAUCCAGUACGUGAAAAAUUAUUAUAAGAAAACUAGUAAUAGAUGACAUGAAAUAACUAUCAUAAAAUGAGGCGCAUGACAGACAACCUAUCUGUCAUUAAUUUAUGACAGAAUUUUUUCCGUCAUACUUUUAUUAUAGUUUUUAGUAGUCACAUGCAUAUCACAUCAUAUUUGAGAGGGAAACUAAAAAAUUAUUUGAUUUUUUUUUCAUUUCUUUUGAAAAAUUUUGGGUGGAAAAUGGUAUUAUUUCAAUCAAUAUUAUUUUAAAAUAUUUAUUUUUAUUAAUGUUUUAUUUUUAUUAUUUGAAUUUUAUUGUUAUUGUUAUUAUUUUUUAUAUUUAUUAUAAUUUGCAUUUAUUAUUAUUAUUAUUCCCGAACUAUGCAAAUUUGCAAUGUAACAUAUGAUAUUAGUAAUUAAAAAAUCCAGUAAAUAUAAAAAAAGCAAUUUAAUAUAUAUUCAAACUUCAAUAUUCAUUUAACCAUACAAACUCUAACAUCCACCCCAAAUCUAAAAUUUCCUAAUAAAAGUUUUGCACAUGAGAAUCAUCCCCAACAUCUAAUUCCAACUACUUGUCCCCAAUCGUUACUUCUCAAAACAAUCAACCAAUGCCCAUUAAUUGACUCUUUGAUUGCCUGAUGGUCACCAAACUUGAGUGAGUUGCAAAUUUUCCAAAUUAUACUUGAUUAGUUACAUAAUUGAAAACAAAUCCUGUUAAUUUAUUUGUUACAAUUCAUUUUGUAGCAAUCACAUAGUUAACUAAGCUCCAUCUAGUAGUAGAGAAUAUGUAGAAAAAAUCACAAAACAAAAUAGCCAUUGCCAUUGAUAAUAUACCGGAGCUGAAACAGAACAGGAAGAAAAAUCAUCUCGAAUGCAAGUGCACACUUGAAUUAAUAUCAUGAAUAAAGGAUAAGAGUCAAAUGUAAUAGUAUAGAUAAAACUUAACCCUUUCGUAUGAUGGGAGUUGCCAGUGUAUUGGCGUUAAUUAUUUUAAAGAAUUCAAAUAUUUCCUCUCAUUUACUAACACACUACAAGCAGAAUGAAUAGACUACUACAUAAUGAAUAUUCUUAGAUAUCAUAUACCAAUUCAGUUGGGUACUUUAUAAUAAUUUACAAUGAUUGCAGGCAGUAGUCACACUUAAAAUAUAUUUAUGUAACUGACAUUUCAGUAGACAUUCAAAUGGCUUGGAAAAUUAUACACAAAAUAACAUUGAAAUGCUUGGAAAAUUAGACACACAAUACAUAUUUAACUCUUAAAAUGACAUUUGGAAAUUCUGGAUGAGCAAAAACCUUAGAAAUAUUGUGAAGAACACAAAGAUCAACAUCUUUAACACAAUAAAAAUUACUUCUUUCUAAUUUUCUCAUUUUUUAUUAAAACAGACAUAACCCAGCAAGCUCAGUUCCUUAAUGAUACGACCAACGGCAAAAAGAAUUGCAUUUCUAAACAUUACCCAAAAAGAGUUUAUGUAUAAAAAUAUGUAUCAAUUGCUUGGAAGAAUUCUAAAAAUUAGUAAGAAUACACUUACUCACCAUUAACUAAGGCAGCCCCACAAAUCAGCAAAUUAUUUAGACCCUGUAACGGGAAAUUUCAGGCUAACAUCAUUCAUAGAAAGAAAAAGAUACCAAAAAGAUAGAAAGAAAUUUCAGUGACAACAUUAGCUUGAGCAGUUUAAAGUUUGCUUUCCAGUUGAAAAUACAAGUCAAUAUCACAACAUAAGUUUUAUAACAAUUAUUUUUAAAAGUUGAAAAUUUUCCACAAUUUUAAAAAUAAUUAUUCACUUUGCUAUUUUCCUUUAUCAAAACAAUUGCUAAAAUGAUUUUUAUAGUUGAAAUGAAAAAUUCUUGUUACCUUCCCUUUGUUCCAAGCCUAACAAUUUUCAUUUUUCACACUUAAAAGGCUUGAACCAUUGUCUAUAAUAAAUCAAUAUGCAAUUCUCAGACAUUUUACUUUGAUCUAAAUUUAAUAUAAGACGCAAAAUUAAACAAGUGAAGAUUAAUACCUUGAAAAUUUUGUGUACUAUUGCUGCAAAGUGGAGGAAGAGAUUUUGAUGGAAAAUAUUGGGAGAGUGAGUUGGUAAAGGAAUUAGGUAGCUCGUAUGAAGAGCCAUGUAAUGAUGAUGUAUCUUUUUCUAUAUACUUUUCCAUCAGAAUCAUUAUAUGGAUAAAUUUAUAAAUUCCAUCAAAAAUUGACGCAAACAUCACAAGAAUGCUUUCCAAGAACAAAAUCAAAAGCUACUCACAGGUGGCAUUACUUCAUAUUGCUCUAUUUCUUUUUGACUCAAUUCAGUUACCAAAAUUUAUAAAAAUACUAUUGAAAACCUUAUCAAAAAAAUCCAUUUAUAAAUUUUCUCCAUUGGACUCGCUUUACAAAACCCGUAAGGAAGAAAUUACAUUCACUACCACUCUACAUCAGUAAAAAGAAACAAUGGAUAAUAACCCAAUCUUCUACGCACAAGCACAAACGAAGCUCAACAACAGAAAUUCUAAAAGUUACGAGAAAACAUUUUACAAUCAAGACUCAAGCUCCACGACCUCUAAUAAUAAAUAUAGUUGUUACUUAUUCUAAACAUAUAACUAAAAUCUAUAGUAUAUUUGUACAUCCAUGACAAAAUUCAAUCUUGAACUCUACACCAUAGAUCAUUUCAAUAGCUAGCACAACUGCUCUUAUUCAAAAUAAGAUCGAUAGCUGAUUGGCAGCUUAUGACCUCUUCAAGGCAUUAUCCAUGUAGCAUUCCAAUCUAAGAUACUACUCCCAAACAUCACAGACAUCGCUACGCUAUAAAUCAUGCCACAAAAAUUGGGGAUAUUAGACUACAAGUUAAAAUCAAAAUUAUAUGAGAGUGUGUGUGUGCGUGUGUGCACGUGCGCAUAGAGAGAGAGAAUUAAAAACAAUUAAAGAUUGAUUAACUAAAUAUUAGAUAGAUAGAUCUAAUAAACGGUCCUGUAAUUGAUUGCAAAUAGAACUAAUUGAAUUUAAUUUGUUUGCUUGGCUGUGUUUCUUUGGCGCGAUGACAGUGAGGGUUUCAAAAGUUAAGGCAAAACAAUUUAGGGUUUUCACGGUUAAGAAGUGAGAGGCAAUAAGACAUUGAAAUGACGACAAAUCGAGAGUGAGGGUUCAAACGGCAGCAAAGUGGUGGCUUGAACAUGAAUGUCUAGUGUUUCUAACGAUGAGAGGGUGAGGCCAUGAGUGACGGUUUCUGCUAAGUGAUGAGAUUCAACACUUAAGGGGAAAAAAAAAGAUUAGGAUUACAAAGCACCAAAACAGUGCGUUUCAUAUUUUUAAAAUUUAUUUUAUAAUUAAAAAUUUAAUAUUUUAAGUUUAUAACGACGACGUUUCUUAAUUCAUUUAAUUUUUUUUCUAAAAAUACCUAGAAUUUUUGUCAAAACAGCGGCAAAGUAAAGUCAAGUUAAAAUUCUAUCAUGAAUUCUUGAUGUAAUAUAUUCUAUCACAAAGUCGUCAUAAAUCUUUGUAAUUUUUUUCGAUCACAUGAACAAGCUCAGAAAGUCAUGGCAAAACCCACCUCUUCUCGCAUCGAUUCCACCAGCUUUGAGUGAUGCCACCGCUUGGAUCUCGAUCCUCAGCUCACCCUCAACCGCGCCAACUGAAACCACUGUUUUGGUCGCGAAUGACUGUUGGAAAUCUCGCUGCUUGGGAAGCUCGAUAUGUCGUUGUCAUUGUGCGUGGGAGGUCACCGCCAGCACCAUUGGACUCACUGAGAUCAGAACUAUCAGACUUGAGCUUCCUGUUGCCGUUGACUGAACUCCAGUCACCGUUGACCGGUAGGGGCAAUUCGGUAAUUCUAUAAAUUUUGGGGAUAGUUUUGUAAUUUCUAAAAUUGGUGGAUAAUUUAGUAAUUUCAAAUUAGGGCAGUUAGGUAAUUUGAGAUUUCGAGGGUAAUUCGGUAAUUUAAGUUGUUAAGAGCAUUUUCGUAAUUUCGCUCUCUAAGGGUAAUUUCAUGAAUAUGACGUGGUUAUUUUUGUAACUUGAAUCGAGGGUAGUUUGGUAAUUUAGGAUUUUAAGGAUAAUUUGGUAAAUUAUGAUGUCGUGGACAUUUUGGUAAUUUAUGAAUAUAGCGGUAUUUUGGUAAUCUUAUGCAUACGGGGAUAGUUUAUUGCAGGUAAAUAUCGUUUCAAGCUUGUUAGUCGUACUUCACAUUUAUAGAUAUUAAUUGUGUCAUUUACUUUAUUUAGGAGGAGCAACGAACGAGAAUCAAGCCGUAAACGAGGACGAUAGCCGAGUUUGAGCUCAUCAUUGUGAGUGGAAUAUACAAAACCUAUUUUCAUAGUUAAUAAUGAUAAUAAAGCAUGUUUGUGAAAUAAGCAUUUUAAAUAUUUUGAUUUAAUGAUUUUCUUGAAAUGGAUUUUAUUCACGCAUUAAUAUUUUAUUAAAAUAUUUGGUUAAUGGUUUUCCGUAUCAAUUUUGAAUAAAGCAUGAUAGUAUUUUAAAUAUAAGAAAAGUGAAUUCAAAUGUGGUAUGAUUUAAAGUACGAUUAAAAGGUAUAUGAAUAUGAGUAUAAUGAUUGUUUUUAAAAUCAUUAGAUAGUAUCCUUCCCCUCCAGAUACAGUGAUAUAGAUGAGAUGAGAGGCCUUUGGGGCCCAUCUGAAGACACAUAGAGGCUUUGGGCCGUAUGUUUGGGCGCUUUUGCCUUUUGGGGGCAUAUGUGUGCGAUAUGAUGAUUACAGAGAUACAGAUAUUGAGAUAUAUAGGAGAUAUAAGCCUUUGGGGCCCGUUUGAGUACACACAAAGGUUUUGGGUUGUGUGCUUAGGCGCCUUGUCCUUUGGGGAUCAGUUUAUGCAUGCAUAGAUAUGAUGCGAUAUAUGAGAUAUGAGAUGGCAUUUCCCUGUCUAACCGUUGUAGCUUCGGGGCAUGGUGGUUCCCUAAUUGCCCGUCCGUCGAGAUUCGGAUAUGAUGAGAUUAUUCUCUUGGGUACUUGUUUAGUGACAAAUAUCACGAUUCAAAUGUUGAGAUUAUAGUGUAUCAUGACUUCUUUGAUUUUAUAUGGUAUUAUAUAUUAUGUUUAUGUGACUGUAUGUUUUAUACUCAAAUAAGUUAUUUAAGUUCUUAUGAAAAUUUUGCUAAAAGGAUUUUUUGAAAUGAUAUAAUUAUUUUGAAGUAAAUUUAUUUUUCAAAAACUACUAUCCACUCACUGAGCUCAUUGAGUUUUAUACUCACCCCGUUUUUAUUAUAUUUCCCCUAGCCCCCUCCCCUCUAUUGGAAAUUUGUAGGUACAUCAGUCGACCCAGCAACGAUAGUUAGAUUGGAAAUUAUGGCCACGUGAUGGUGCCAGGAAUCACAGAUGUUUGUUAGGAUAUUUUGGAUUGUAUAAAUUAUUGCAUAUUCGUGAUUAAAGAUAAUAUAUUGUAUUUUUGACAUUAUAUGUCUGGAGGAUAUUUGGUAUGGGAUUGAGGAAGUUGGUUGCGGAGGUUGAUUAAAUAUUGAAUUAUUUUUUGGAGUGUUAAUUUUAUAAAUUGCAGGUUUAGGAAAGUCAUAAUUGUAGAGGAGACUAUGCUGAAUUUUUGGUAGAAUUCUUAGAUAUUAGAUUAAUUAUCAAUUCCGUUGGACGAGAUUAGAUAGAUUCGCCCUGGGGAUUUGGGGUGGGUCAUUUCACAUAUUUAUUUGACUUACCAAGUUUCUUGCUAUUAGGCUCUCAUGAGCUCGUGCUCUCAUGUAGCUAGGCUUAUUUGACUUACUAAGCUUCCUGCUACUGAGCUCUUGCUCUCCCAUGUUUGCAUGCUCCUGUGUUCUCAUGCUCUUACGUAGUUGUGCUUUUUUGACUUAUUAAGCUUCCUACUACGUACUAAGCUAUCACAUUUUCAUGCUCUCAUGCCCUCAUACUCUCAUAUAGCUUUGCUUAUUUGACUUGUUAAGUUUCCUAUUACUGAGCUCUCAUCCUGUCAUGCUCUCAUGUUGCUGUGCUUAUUUGAUUUAUUAAGUUUCUUAUUACUGAGCUUUAAAGCUCCCAUGUUUUCACGAUCUUAUGCGUUUGUGCUAUUUGACUUAUUAAGCUUCCUACUAUUGAGCUAUCAUGCUUUCAUACAUUCACGUAGUUGUGCUUAUUGGAUUUAUAAGCUUCCUGCAACUAAGCUCUCAUGCUCUCAUGAAGUUGUGCUUAUUUGACUUAUUACGCUUCCUACUACUGCGUUCUCAUGCUUUCGUGCUCUCAUUCUCUCAUACUCUCAUGCUUAUCAUGCUCUCUUGUAGUUAUUUCACUUUUCACAUUUCUCAUGUAGUUGUGCUUAUUUGAUUUAUUACGCAUUCGGCUGCUGAGUUCUCAUGCUUUCGUACUCUUAUUCUACCAAUGCUCCCAUGUUUUCAUGAUCUUAUUACUAAGCUUUCAUGCUCCCAUGUUUUCACGAUCUUAUGUGUUUGUGCUUAUUUGACUUAUUAAGCUUCCUACUACUAAGCUAUCAUGCUUUUAUACAUUCACGUAGUUGUGCUUAUUGGAUUUAUAAGCUUCCUGCAACUAAGCUCUCAUGGUCUCAUGUAAUUGUGCUUAUUUGACUUAUUACACUUCCUGCUACUGAGUUCUCAUGCUUUUGUACUCUCAUUCUCUCAUACUCUCAUGCUUAUCAUGCUCUCUUGUAGUUAUUUCACUUUUCACAUUUCUCAUGUAGUUGUGCUUAUUUGAUUUAUUACGCAUCCGGCUGCUGAGUUCUCAUACUUUCGUACUCUCAUUCUCUUAUGCUUUCAUGCGUAUCAUGCUCUCUUGUGCUUGUAAUUAUUUGACUCUUCACCUUUCUUAUUACAACAUGUA